UGGAGGAUUUUCUGAAGUUUUUAAAAUUCUUUUUGGGGAGAUUUAUUCAGGCAGCUCGUUAAUGGUGAUUUGGCUCAUUUUUUUCAGAUUUUUUUCUUAAGAUUUUUGUGGUUCAAUUGUGUUUGGUUGCUGAGAAAAGAGGUAGGUGAAGGAAAGGGAUGUGAAUUUUGACUCACUCAACCAAAUAUUUUUGAUGCAGCUGUUUGCGUCAGUCGGAACUUAAAAUUAUAUUCUCAACCGAGAAAGUCACAUGCAAAUUUAUGUUCUACUUUAUUUCCAUGCUUUCCUUUUCCUCUCUUUUCUCGGUAACCAAACUGCAGGGAGGAUCUCCGAGAUAGCUCUUUGUAUUUCAUUCCUUUCUUCAACAAAGAAAAUUAAAUUUGGAUUCUCUUUUUACUUUUAUUAUUCUUCCUUUUUUUCCUCUGAUUUCUCGGCAGCAAAACGAACACGAAAAUCAUCGAACCAGUUAUUUUAAUCUCGAUAAGAUCUUCUCUCCUAAAGCCUUCCAUUUUUUCUCUAUUUCUCACAAAGACGAUUCAUCUCCCAUCCUAUUUUCCUCUCCGAUCCUUGAAAUUUUUCACUUUUCCGGCACCGACCUCGCCGGAGAUAUGGCAUACUGUACGAAGAACUUACCAGUAGAAGAUGACGUGGCAUUGCCACCGCUUUGCACCUCAUCACCGUGUCCCGCCACGUCAUCUCCGAUGAACAACCAAAUAUGAAUUGACAAUAAAUUUAAUAUUUAUUUAUUUUCUUUCUCAUUUUCUCUAUAAUUUUUUUAUUAGAAAAAUAAGAGAAUCAGGUGAUUAGCAAGAAAAAAAAAAAACCCUCAAAUCCAACAAGGAAAAAACUUUCAAAUUAUUAUUCUUAUAUUUUUAUGAACAAAUUUGCAGUUGGAUGAGUUUUUGCAGAUGAAUUCAAAUGUGGGCUUGUGAUUUAAAUUUUGGGUGUUUCUCAAAACUGCAGAUACAUGCCAAAAUCGAUUCAUACAUGAUAGCUCCCUAGGGUGUUACCAUCCUUGGUUGGUUUUCUUGAUCUAGUUGAAUAAAACCCGUGUCGGAUUAGCUGCAUACUUUGCAUGUGGCUUAUUGAUCAUACCGCCUUUUGUGUCCGAAUAUGCUUGUUUGAUCCUUAGUCUAAAGUUUGACUCCAUCGUGACUAUUUAUCAUUUAUUAAUCACACACGCAUACACAUAUACAUAUGCAUAUAUAUUAGUAUUAUUAAAUCACUAUUGUUGUCUUUGCUGUAAAGGCAAGGAUGGCAGUCCAGAUCCCAUUAAUGGUUAGAUUUGAAUGGAAUCACCACUCCAUAUUUGACAUUUCUAGCUACAAAUCAGUGGCUGAAGAUGGGUUUGUGACCAAAAAAGGUCAAAACAAACUCUAUGACAUUGGUGUUUUGUUUUCUUCAUACACAUAUGUAUAUAUUAGCAUUAUUAAAUCGCUGCCUUUGCCUGGACUGCAAAGGCAGCUAUGGCGGCCCAAGCCUGAUUACUGGUUAGAUUUGAAUAGAAUCACCACUCUAUAUUUGACCAUUUUUGCUGCAAAUUGACGACUGAAGAGGUAUGACCAAAAAUGGUUAGAACAAACUCUAUGACAUAAUGUUUUUGUUUUCUUCAACCCGUGUUUUUGGUGGCUUAGCACCAGCCUUUUCUACAAGCAGCAUGGAAAACGCACCCCACCUUGUUUUUUAAUUCAAAUCUGCUUCUGAGUAGUUGGCAAAUCCUUAUCCAAUUGCGGUAGAUAUAUUUGGGUCAUGUGACUUCCAAACCUUGACGAGUAGAAUAAUAUGUCACUAGUGGCACCUACCCAUAUGCCAUGCGGCUUGGAUCACACCUACCCAUAUGGUUGGGCUAUUUAAUUUAAUGAGUUAUACUCAAAACAAAGUUGUUAGGAGUGCCAUUCGAGGUAGGGAAAUAAAGUAUUCAUUGCCAAAUUAAACUAUCCUCUCACCUGAAUUUUGGUGUUAGGUUGCUUAAACUGUUUGAUAUAGAUGUGGCUAAUGAAGAAGUGUGUAAUUUGUAGGAAAAAUAAAUCAAUGUAUGGAUAUGCUACGCUUUUUCCUUUUUCUCAUAAUGGUUCUAACUUUCACGUUACUAUUAAGAUCAUGCAGUGGCUCCCAUAGAAGUAGUUAGGUCUUGUGCCCAACAUCAUCCUAUUCCAAGUGAUGGCUCACAUGCCUCCAUAAACCCUCAGAACCCCGCACCAGCCGGCCACUGUCACUAACCCUAAACCUUCAGUUAUCAUUAUCUCAACGCCACCUGCAAGAAAGCUUCAUUUCCUAACAAGAAGAUUGGGUAGGGGUUUAGGGAAGGUUUGCUUUUAGAUUGAAGUUACCCUGUUUUUCAAAUCAUUGGUGAUGGGGUGGUUGUGUAUGGGACCCCAGUGCUGGGCCAAUUUCAGUGCCGGUUGGAGACCUGGUUGGACAUACGUAUCUUGAAGGAGAGCCAUCACCAUAGUACUGCUUGCUAUAUUUUGGAGGACACACCAGGACGAUCAGAAAUUAUGAUGCUGAAUAGGGCCAGCCACAUGUGCUAGCCAGUCACUUUUUUGAAGAUUUUUGUUCCUUGGUUCCCUAUUCGAUAUUCCUACUCAGAAUUAAAGCAUCAGCUUUCUUUAAUGUGUUCUUCCUGAUAACGUGCAGAUAUCUUUUGAUAUAUCUUUUGGUUGUGGGUGGGGUAGGACUGAGGUUGGAAUCUCUUUAUACGUAUUUUUGUUGAUGCAUAUAUAUAUGGGAUUAUGCAGCAGGAGUGCCCAUUUCUCCAUAUAUGACAAGAACCCGGAUGAUCAACUCCCCCCGGGUGUGGUCCCCGACGAGCUGAUCCAGCCCCAGUCCGACAAGUACUGGGCUCCACACCCACAAACUGGCGUGUUUGGCCCAGCUGCCGAGCAAAACGCUGCAACUGCUGGUGCAGGAAGCAGGGACGGUGGCUUCUUCUCCUCGCCAGUGAAUGGUGGUGGAGAGUCGGUGCUGGAAGAGAAGGCGUGGUUCCGCCCCACCAGCCUGGAGGACUUGGAGAAGCCUCACUGAUCUCAACAAAAGCGCAUGUGAAUAAGGCCAAAGCUCUCCCAUCAGAGGAUAGGUAACUGGAACUGCUACUAAAAAUAUUUAGUAGAAUCAUAAUAAUAAGAAGAGUAGUAAGGCUUGGUUUUGGAUGUGUAUAAAAGAGUUUUACUCCCAACUCUUGUUAUAUGCGGUCAUUUAAUUAGGCUUGGAAUUGGAUGCUAUGUUUCUUGUACUAUUUUGCUAUAAGACGCUUGCUUAUGUUUGCCAUCUUCGCAUCUUCAUUAUUCCUAUUCCUUGUAGCUAACAUCAUUCAUUAACCCAGCAUUAAUCUGUAUGAAUCGAUCCAUUCGAUCGUUUUUGUGAUUCAAGCUUUUGGGUAGAUGAAGUGAGGAUGUACAUAAGAAGUGGAGCCAUUGAGUUGGGAGGAUGAGCUUCAAAAACUUACCUCUCAAUCUUCAUUCAUGUGAAGUGCUUCCCCUAUUAGAAGCUAAAAUUCUCUUUAAGUUAAAAAAAAAAAUGUUUUAAUAGCAUUUUUGGUGAUGUAUUAUAUAACAAAAAAAAAUGAUAAUUUAUCAUCUAUAAACUUUUAUAAGUAAUUCUUGAGAGUGCUAGAAACUUUGGAAAACACUUUUAGUCAUAUAUUUAUAAAAACCCCGGAAGGGCUUGUUUUAUUUUUAAAAUAACUUUUAAAAAUAGUUUUUGAGAAUAGUUUUUGAAAAUUGUUUUAUAAUGUUUUAUAAAAUAAAAAAAGUAUGUUUGAAAACUUAAAAUAUUUUUAAUAUUUCUAAAAAUAAUUUUUAUAUUUAAUAAUUCUAUAUGUUUGUACCAUUAUUUUUAAUUAAAAGAUGUUAUUUGAAAAUGUCAUGUUUUUUAUUCUUAAGAAUAUACUAUAAAAAAUAAUUUUUAAUUAUCAAAUGUGUUCUUUUAAUUUUUUGUUUUAGAGAACAAAAUACAGUUCUUGAAAACAAUAACCAAACAAACCGUAAGUCCUCCAUGCUCUAAAGAAAAGUGGGGGACGUGGAGACAAUGGCGAUGUGUAGUAAUUUUCAAUCCUCCCAUACCCUUGGCAUGGCUCCUAAAGAACAGUGGGGGGGACCUUGGGACAAAGACUGAGUGCUAUAAUUCAAUCCUCCCAUACUCUUGGCGUGGCUACAACUUACACAUAUUGGGUUGGAAAUUUUGUUGGACAAUGUGAGUUGGGUUUUUAUGAAAUUUGUCAUAGAGGUGAAUCAGGUGAUGUCUGCUAAAUAAUAGAAAAAUGGUAAGAAAAAUGAGUUGAUUUCAUUUACAAUCUCGAUAUUUAAUUUAAUGUUUGAUUUCAUAUUUUGUUAAUUAGUAUCUUUAUAUAUGUUUCUGAUAUAUAAAAUUUAUUUUGUAAAGAAUAAAAUUUAAUUUUUUAGAGAAUUAUUAAAUAAUUUUUUUUUAAAAUAAUUUUUAUAAUUGAAAUAAAUUUGUAGGAAUGCUAAUUUAUGAAAUUUGAAUCAUUGAUGAUUACAUGUAUACCAAACUUUAGGUGUUUACUUUAAAAAUAAUACAAAAAAUACUAACCCUAUCUUUAACUUCUAAAAAAACCUAAGAAAAAAAAUGAAAGAAGUAAAAUGCAUAAAAAUAAAAAUAAAAACGAUAAGAAAAAUAUGAUGGAUAAAUUAUUUUGAUGUAUAUUUAGAAUUUAUUUUAUUUAUUUUUUCCUGUGUAUAAAAAUUAAAAAUAAUAUGAAAAUAUAUAGGUUUUUAAUUAAUUUUAAUUAUAUUUGAAUAUUUUAUAUUUAUUGAUAAAUCAAAUAUGAAAAAAUUAUUUUUAUUUUAAAGCAUAAAUGGUUAUGAAUUUUCACAUGGUGUAAUGUGAAUGGGAGGUCAUUAUCAUACCAUGUAUCUUUUUUAUCCAUUUUGGAGUGGACACUGGACAUAUAGACAAGAGAGAAAAUAUUGUCCAUUUGGACAUGUUCCUCCCACAGUGAUCCCACUCUUUGAUCUUUUGGAGACCACAUGCCACCACCACCCACCAGUCCCUGCCUGCCUCUCCACAACCCCCCUCUAUGCUCAUAAGGUUGAUUGAGAUUUUAAUUUUAAUUUUUCAUUUUUUUAUUGGUCCUCACAACAUAUGAGAUAGGGGUUAUUUGAUUAAAAGUAACAUUGAAAACCCGAUUUUGGAAAUCUAACCUUUUAUCAUUUUUUUAUAUCAUAUUUUAAUAAAAAUGUCUUCAUUCUUUUUUUCUAAAAGCAAUAAUUUCUAUUAAAAUCUACAUAUAAAUACUUUCUUAAAAAAAAAAUUGGAAAAGGGGUUAAAUUCACAAAUAUGAUGAUUAUUUUAUCAAUUCUAACCAAUUUAUUCUAUAAGAUAUGCUUUGCAUAUUCUUCAUUUUGGUCUCUAAUAAUUACUCUAAUAAUUACAUAUUUGAUUAGAUAAACUCGAGUAUAAUAAUUACAUCAAAUUUCUUUCACAUGAAAUUAAAUUUGAUUAAAGUAUAUUUGUGGGACGCUUACAGCCGUCUAGCAUGAGCCCUAAGCCUGCAAAAUAUGUUUAACAUAAGAGCCAUGUAGUAUUGUUCACUUUAAGUAUUAAUUGUAACGAGCAUUAAGUGCAUUGAUUGACGCAACCAUUACGAAGAUAAAAUGCUAAACUUCAAGGCUUAUCAAGAUGGGAACGUGUAAUCAAAGACACAAUUAAGGCACUUGAGAAGACAUUAUAUUUGGAAAAGGAUAAAUAGUCAUUCUUCAUCACAAGAAAGGUAUGUUAUCACUUUUUCCAAAAAAACUCUUGCUCAAGUCUUCUAUCUCUGACCUAAGCUUUGGGGUGUGCCUGAAAAACCCAUUCGGACAUUCCUUUGUGUAGGUGCAAUUGUCAUCUACGUCAUGCGGAGGCUAGUCGGACACCUUCUUUCUUGGCCAUGGACCAAUAAUAUUAACUGGAAACAUAAUCCAUUUAUUUAUUUUAGUAUUAUUCAUAAAUGAUGAUUAUGACCCACAUGACAUAAUUUCCUAUUUUUAAAUAAAAGUCUCUUUUAAAAAAAAUUUAAACUCUUGAGUCAAGUUAUAUAUAAUCAUUUGAACAUAAUAUAAUUAAUUAAAUGAGAUAAACGGGUGUUAUAGACUUUUAGAAGUAUGAAUACAAAGCUAAACAUAGUUAAAAAUUAUAUUUGAUAUAUUUUUUUCUUUUACUAAAUUACGGUUCAUUUGGUAACCAAAAAUAUGAAUGAAAAUAAGAUGAAUCAUAAUACCAUGUAAAAUAAAGGAAUCAAAAUCGUAGUGAAAAUUAGAUCAAAUUUUCAUGAUGGUAAAUUUUUGUUUUUAUUUUCGUUUUGGAUUGUAAUCCUAAUACAUUAAUUAAUGGGAAAUAAAACUAAUCUCCAUUCUUGUUCUUUAUUAUAGUGUUCCAAAAUAUGGUUUUAGGAUUGAAAUUGAUUUUGAAAUAUUAAAGGUUAAAUUGGUAGAUGUAUAAAUUACAUAGAAAUUUGAAAUUUCUUACUUUUACAUCAUUUUAAUACCUUUAAUGCACAUUUUUGUAUUUUUUAAGUUUUGGGUUUGAAAGAAGAAACAUAGCAUUGAUCAAAGUUAAAACAAAAGUAAUGAUUUUUUUUAGUUAAAUAAUUUGAAAAUAUGCGUCAACACAUUGGAUGGUAUUUUAAUUUAAAUUUUUUUGGAUAACCAAAUGAUGGAUUUGAAGCAUUCCCAUACCAAAACAAUGAUAAUUAUUUAUUGAAUAAAAUUUCAAAAAUUUCAAAUAGCAAUAAUAAUAUUGUUAUUGUUAUUAUUAUUAUUAUUAUAAAGAAAUAGAAAACCAUUAAUUUGAAACUUUUAUCUAAUUGUUUUUUAGGAAUGACAAUAAAGUGGGGUUAGGACAGGGAUCGGUGAGGGGCGAGUAUGAGAAUUUUCCAUGCCCAUCUCAUCUCAAUUUAUAUAUUUUGAAAAAAAAAAAAUAAACUUUUUAAUAAAAUUAUCUUAAAAUUUUUAAUUAUAUUAAAAUAAAUAUAUUUUAUAAAUAAUUAAGAUUUCGUAUUCGAUAAAGUCACGAACUCAUCUUGAACUUGUCCAAAUGACACAAAAUAUAAUGGAAAGGUGGCACUUUAUGUCAUCUAGCUUUGCAUUUGUAUAAAAGAGUAAAAUCCAUUACUUUGACUCUUGCGGAAUUGCAUUUAAUUUUUGUCUAUAAAAAAAUAAUUUUUGAGAAUAAUGUUAUAAAAUAGUACUUAAUUAUUCCAAGGAAAAUAAAAUUCUUUGAAAUUAUUUUGUACCAAAUAUUGUGAGCUUAUGUACAAUACAAACAUUCUUAAAAUAUUCUUCAUAUUUUUAUCUAAUAUGUUCAAUUUUUUCUUGUAAUACUCAAUAAAAAUAUAUUGCUUAAAAUUUAAUCUAAAAACUAAUUUAUUUUCAGAAUAAAUUGUUUACAAAACUAGUUUUAAUAAAAAAAAUUUGUGAAAUAUAUUUUUUUUCAUUCUAAAAAAUAAAAAACUAGUUUAAAAAAUGAUUAUUAAACGGACUCAAAAUAUCUAAGGAUAUGUUCGAAAAUAGUUAUGAAAAAUAGUUUUUGAUUUUUUUUAAAAAAUUAUUCUUUGACUUUUGUGAAAUAAAAGUUUAUUUGAAAACCUAAAAUAUUUUAAACAUAUUUUUAAAUAUGUUUUAAAAAUAAUUUUUAUAUCUAAUGUUUUAUUUUUAAUUAUUCUACAUGUUUGUAUAAUUAUUUCUUAAAAUAGUUUUAAGAAAACAAGUGAAAACAACAUAAAACUAAAAAAUGUUCUUCGAAAACACCCUAUUUUUUGUUCUUGAAAAAAAAAAAAAAACAGUUUUUGAUAAUCAAACACAUUUUUUAUAUUUUUUUGUUUCGGAGAAUAUAAAAUUGUUUUAAAAAAUAGUUCUCAAACAACCUCUAAACUUUUCAACUUUCAAUUUAGACGAUAUGACUCGAAAUAUAUUUGGUUGUAUUUAUAUAGUAACAAAUUUUAUUUUAAUUUUAUAUUAUAUUAUAUUUUUUUAUCACUAUUAUAGAUUUAAGUGUUAAAUUUCAACGGUUGAAAAUUUACAAGAAAAAUGUUGAAUCAUGAUUAAUUUUCAAAUGUUGUAAUAAGAAUCAGAGGUCAUAAUCACCGUGUUGAAUCAUAUAUAUAUGUUUGUAUAUAUAUGGAAUGAACAUAGUCAAGAGAGAGAUUGAAGUUAUCUAUUUGAAGAUGUUCCCCCACAAUGAUCCCAUCCUUAGAUAUUUGGGGACCAGAUAUCACUACCCACUAGGCCCUACCUGCCUCCCCACAACCACUCUCAUCCCCAUAUAGUCUCUCAAAUCAUAUUAGAAUUUAGGAUAAGGUUGAUUGAGUUUUCUUAUUCAUUUAUUUAUUUUUUGUUGAGUGUCACAACAUAUAAGCUAAAUUCUUAUUAUUUUUACUUAUUCAAAAGAUGAAUUUAACAUUCAUAUUAAGCUCAUUUUUUCAAAAGACGAAUUUAGCGUAAUGAUUUUCAUAACAGUAUAAACUAUUUUAUUUUUAAAAAUAUUUUUGAGAAAAUGAUAUUGUGAAUUUGGUCUUUAAACAAAAGGGUAAAUUGAAAUUAAAAAAAUUAAAAUAAGGUGGGCAAAAAAAAAAAAAAAAAAUGGUGGGUCCUCCCUUAUCUUCAUUUCUCCCACUCACAUUUUACACCAAAACCCACUCCAACGAAAAAAUCAAGGUUGGUAAUAAUAUAAUCGAAGUGGGUCAUGUUCGUGUCGAAUCAACUCUAGGCGACUUGCUUAAUAGACAUGCAAGUUGACAUCAAUAGGACCUAGAUAUGAUUAACUUCAACCUAAAUCAUCUUCAAGUUAAAGAUUUCAAUCCAACAUGACCCACUUAAUAGACAAGUGAGUUGACAUGAAUAGGAUCUAAACAUGAUUAACUUCAACCUAAAUCUUCUUCAAGCUAAAGCUUUCAAUCAAACAUGAUCCGCUUAAUGGACAAGCGAGUUGACAUGAAUAGAGUCCAAACAUGAUCAACUUUAUCUUAAAUCAUCUUCAAGUUAAAUCUUUCAAGCAAACAUGACCCACUUGAUGGACAAGCAUGUUGACACAAAUAGAAUCUAAAUAUGAUCAACUUACAACCUAAAUUUGUUAAUUUCAUUUGGUUUUCAAGUCAUGUCACCAGGUGUGUCAAGAUUUGAACACCGAUAGUCCUGCAUGCCAAACAUAACUAACAAGUUGUAGCUUUUGAAUUUGGUGUUAUGGUAGUAGAUGAGGGAUGUGCUCUCUCAAAUCUAUAAAACCAACCCUCCCUUUCCCAUUAACCAAACAAGCAAACUUACCUCAUUAAAUUCAAGCAGAUGCACGAGCUCUAGAUUUUCAUGCCUAAUUUUCAGGAGACACCCCAGAUUUUCUCGUCUUUCUCAAGUUGAGUUGCAUCUGGUAAUGAGGAGUUCUGUUGUAACCAUCAGAACAAGAUAAAUUGUUAGUAUAUGUUCCCAUUUUCAUAAAUUCACGAACAGAAACCGAAGUUGAGAAAGGUUAUUAGGUAGUUUCUUUGUUUCCUUAAGCAGGGUUUACUUCUUUUCCUCUGAAAAAAAGAGCAGAAAAUUUCAUGCAAAACUAUUUCACAAAUUCAUCUACUGCUCAACUGCAUCUAUGUUUUCAAAUUUGCAGGAAUGAUAAUCAAACACCUCUUAGUGACGUCCUCAUUUCUUCGAUAUUUGUCUUGCAUUUUUGUUAGCAUGGACUGUUCAUCCAUCUUGGUUUCCUCCUUUUGAUUGACUGUUUAUUCAUCUCUCAUGUCGGUUAAUCUUCUCUUCCAUGUAUCAGAACUCUGUUACCGUUAAAUCCAGUCUCUCCUGUACAAUUUGAAAUGAUAUGGAUAUAACAUGCUUCACUGAGUUUGGGAGGAUAAAUGAACUCAAAUCGUAGUGUGUAAGGAGUGUUGAGUUCGUGAACCAACCUCAGAGGCCAAUCACUGACAUCAUUUCCAUCAUGGGGCAAAUUCAUUUGGUCAGGAGAGGCAGCCAGUCCAUAUUUUCACAUUUUGCCAUUCCUUCAUUCUGAAGCAGUCCCACUCACCACGGUUCCUGAACUUGAUGCUGCACAGAGAUUUAGCAUACAUUUAGAAGCUUGGGAAAGUGGAUAGAUAUACAUAGCAGAAUCAUUACUUGAAUUGAAACUUUUGACUGAGAGAUUGCUCAGCACUCAAUGUCAUUUACAUAAUCAUAUAAAUUUUGUGCAUACAUGCAGGCCAAAGAUUGAAAAGUUCAGAUAUGAUACCAAGCACAUGAAAUACAGGGAUACUGGGAAUAAUCCAUGCAGUGAGUCACACUAGACCCACAAAUUUUAAGUACUUUACCAUAUGGAGGAACUAAGCAUUUCCAAUUCGGUCUAAAGGCAUCAUAUAGCAGUAUUGCCAGAAUAAUGUUUGCAAGCUUUUAGAAAAAUGACGUGAAAGUAUAAAGUACUUAUAUCACAUAUGGAAAAAAGCAUGUCACACAUGAGAACCAAUGGCUGAGACAUCUAAUUAUAAGAAUCGAGAGGCUUACCUCUACAGAAUUCAACCGUGGAUUCCUGAAAGGAAACAUGAUUUAAAUAAGAAUAAGUUGGAUUCUCGAUUUUGAUUUUAUUUAUGAUUUGUUACACCAUAGAUAUGCACCCGAAGUAAUACUUACAAUGUCUCUGCUGCAGGACCAAAAGUGCAGUUUGAAGCAUCUCUCUAGCCUUCCUAUCUGGAGUACAUCCAGCAGAUUCCAUUUCCUCAUAUAUCUCAGGGACCUGGCCAGCAUGUCAUUUGAAUGGAUUCGUUAAGGUAGAAAAGGGAGAAACGAAACAAAACAGUGCAAUUCAAUUCUUGUAUGGAGGAAUCUAGAUGAAUUUAGUUCAAACAGAAGGAUAUACUGCACCUUGUCAAACUUUCUUGCCCUAAUACAUGCCUUCAUAAGUGUACUGUAAGUGACCACAUCAGGACUGAUACCCUUCGAUAACAACAAGAAUGUCUCAUCAGAGUCUGGGAAGAAGUGUCUCGAAAAUGAAUUGCAUGAGCAAAUCCAAAAGUGCUUUAAGCCCAUAACAUAUCACUCCUAGUAUGUGUAUCAUGCAAAAUAAGAUAGGCUUACUGUGUCUUUUAUAUGAUGAUAAACUGAUAGAGCCUCCAAAUGUCUCCCAGCAAUGCCAAAUGCAUUGAUCAACAUGUUCAGCAUUAUAAGGUUUGGUUCAAUUCCUUCUGUCUCCAUGAGCUGAAGAACCUUAACUGUUUGCUCACAUAAACCCUGCUCAAGAAAUCACAAUUACAGUGUUGCAUGAAAUCUUCAUAGAUGUUGGUCAAAUAGAGAGUUAAUCCUCUUAACUCAACUUGGACAAAAAGCAAAUACUAGCAUAUCAUCAUGUCAAACUAUCUAUCUAAUUAUCUAUCUAAUUAUUGUGAUUACAAAACUGUAAAUAGUUUGUCAUUGAUGUGGUAGGGUAUAGGCCCCGUUAGCAGCACAUUAAUUAUUUGAGGAUGGUUUUUAUUUUAUAUUUUAUUUGUUAUUUUUGUGGCACUGGGUUUUGAGGAUGGGGUGGGAAAUGGAGACCCAAGCCUUACUAUGUUUAUCCUUGCUAAAACAUCUAUCUUUAUAAUUGAUUCAAAUGCCCAAACAGAAGCAUAUAUCAUCUGGUCAUAAUGAGGCUAGAGCUUUUCUCAAUUUCUGGAGUCCAAAGAGAUGUUAUUUUCUUUGCACAUCCAGUGGCCAGCAAAAUAAGAGCUAAAUUUGCAAAUGAAUCUAUGGCCAACUCCUUAUGGCCUCAACCUUCAUGGGUUGACAAUGAAUCUGCUACAUGAUCAUCCGGGCUAUAAAUUUCAGCUUUUAAAGGCAAAUCAUAUUCUUUACAUCUAAAAGUUACUAACUGCUUCCAGUGAUCAAAGUCCUUCAACAAUUUCUUGGUGUCUCUAGGUUACAAAUAAAAGGGGGUAUCCAAUCAUUGGACCACAGUGAAUGAAUAUAGUAGGUAAUACACACAGAAAAACAAGUGUAAAGAUAAUAAGAAUAAAAUACGAGAAAUUAAAAGGGAGUGACUAGAAAGGUGACAAACCUGUUGAGCAUAUGCAUUUGCCAACACACAAAACAUGCUAGCUGAUGGCUGAAUACCUUCCGAUUUUAAAGCAGAUAUGCACUCUUCCGGGCCCUGGAAUCUUCCAUACUGCCCAUAAAUAUCAACCAGAAUGGCAUAAAUGGCACCACUUCUUUGAUGCCCUCUGCAUUUCAUAUUCUCAAAAUUCCUUUUUAUCACAUCCCACUUCCCCUGCUCCCCUAAACGGCUGAUGAUAGUGAUGAAGAUCUUCGGGUCAGGGUACAACCCUUCUUCUUGCAUCUUACUAAAUAACUCAAGUGCUUUACCGACAUCCCCUGCCUUGCAGUGCCACUGAAUCAAAGAAUUCCAUGUCAUUAUAUCCGGUUUCACGCCUUCUUCCUGCAUUUUCUCAAACACUUCCAAGGCCUCACUCAACUCACCACACUUGCCAAACGUAUCAAUUAUGCUAUUAUAAAUCCUCUUGUCUAGUGAAACCCCCAUCUCCCUUAUCUCUCUCACAAUCUCCAUUGCUUUCUUCCACAUCCCAUUAUCCCUAUACACACCAAUCACCUUACUAUAUACAAAUGAGUCUGGUCCAAAUCCAUCCCUACUCAUUUCACCGAUAACCGCCCAAACAUCAUUUAACCGCCCUGCACGGCCAUAAUAAUCAACAAGGGCCUCAUAAGUUGCUCGGUUCCUCCCAAUUCCUAAAGCAUCCAUUUCCGCCAAAACUUUAUCUGCAAGCUCUAACAGGCCUUUUCUCAAACAGCUUCUAAGCAUCACAUUAUACACCCUCAAAUCAAGCUUCAACCCCAAAUGCACCAUUUCCCUAAAAAUGGCCUCGGCUUCCAAGGUCCUCCCAACACUCCCUAAGGCCUCAAUUACAGUGGUGUAACUUCCCAAGCUAAGACUAAACCCGAGAGCCUCCAUUUGAGCUAACAGCUUCAUGGCCUUAUCAACAUCCCCUACUCUGCAACUUUCCCUAAUCCUAGCAUUGUACACAACCCCAGAGAGCUCUUCCCCAUUUUCUGAAAUGGAAACCUCUUCUACACUGACUUGAUGCUUGUUUUUCAUGUGGGUAUUGAUCAAAGUUGGAAAUGGUGGACCCAUAAGAGAGACCAUGAAGUGCAUUUUCAUGGGCUUAUACUGCCCCAAUUGUUGGUGAAACAAGGAAACCGAUUGGCAACACUUGAUGCUGAGCAUGAUGAAUGUACCAAUGUAUUGCUGUUACUGCAAAAUGGGGGGUUUAUCAUUUAUGUAUAUUUUUCCACAAAUUGAAGUAUAAAAAAAUUCUUUGCCAUUUGGGUUUAGUUGUGAUAUUCAUGGUGGAACCAUGUCUAAAUCAUACUAUGCCACAUGCCCAAGGGUUUUUUAUAUUAUUUAUUUAUUUAUAUAUAUAUAUAUAUAUAUUUUUAAAUACCAUAGAGUGAUAUUAAAAAUUUUAUGAUAAAAAUUGUCACAUAAUACUGUAAGUAAAAUCAUAAGGGAUGCAAUAAUCAUACUAAAAAACAAGUAUGAAAUAAUCCUAAGGAUGCAUCAACAUCAAAUUAUAUAAUUUUAUUUUAAAGGGUGAAUCUUUUAAACUUGAUCAACCAUGAGUAUCGUCUUUUGAAAAUAUGUAUUUCACCUAACAAAAUUAAUUUAUCUUUCAUAUUAACUUAUCUUUUGUAUUACUGUGAGUAUUUUAACUCAUUUUUUUUUUAAAUACAAGUUAAAUAUUUUUAUAUUAAACUUAUUUUUUCAAAAAAAUAAAUUUAAUGUUUUAUUAAAGUUACUUAUUGUUUUUUAUAGAGCUAAAAGUAAUCCAAAAAUCAUUUCCAAAAUAAUUAUAUUAUCAUUUAUAAGAUCAAACAAACAUGAUAUUGAGCAAUUUUUUUUAUUUUAAAUAUUCAUUAAUUUAAUAAGUAUUGUAAAGUUUUAAUUAUGGAAUAAAUCUUUAUUUUUGACAUGAAUCUUAUAAGUUUAGAAAAAGAGAAAGAAAAUGUAUAACAAGAUUUUUGAUUUAAUUUUGAGAAUUACAAAUUUCAAAAUUAACUUCAAUAUAAAAAACCCAGGUGGAUGGGAUGAUAAAAUCACUAUAUUGCCCUUCAACUUCACCCAUUUUCUCUGGAUAAUAAAGAGGGGGAAAAAAAAUCUUCAACUGAAAUUCCUCCGUUUCUUCAAGGGAUUACGUCAUUGAUUUCUGCACUUUCACUACCUGGGUUUGUCUCCUUAAACCCUGAAGGCUGAUGGGUAAAGCCCUAUAAUCUACAAAACCCCUGAAAAUCCAGGAAACAGCAAGAAAAUCCGAGGUCAUGCCAGUGGCAAUGGCAUGCGCUGGAGUGCUGGCAUUCUCAUCUGCGCCCAAAAACUCAGACCCAUCAUCAUCAUCAUCAUCAUCAAAGGUAUGCAGAAGCUCUACUGCUACAGUUUCUUGCGUUUCACAUUGCGUAUGUUCUGCUGCCAGUACCAGUACUGCCACUGAACAAGCAAAUUUACAGAAAUUUAGUUACAGCAGGGCGUCUCCAUCUGUGAGAUGGCCUCACCUGAAGCUGACUGAGAAUUACCCACCAUCACAGAGGCCUACCCAUGUUGUGGAAGAUGUGGGUCUUUUGGAAGACACUCAUGAUUCUUUAGGAAAAGAGGAAAUUAGGGAGAUAGGUGAAGCGGGUUUUGGGGAGGGUUUGGAAUUGGGUGAUGAAACCCAGGAUUUUUUGGGGAAAACUAGUAAGAAUAGGGUGAAGAAAAUGACUAAAUUGGCUCUUAAAAGGGCUAAAGACUGGAGGCAGAGGGUACAGUUUUUGACCGAUAGGAUACUGGGGUUGAAAUCAGAGGAGUUUGUGGCUGAUGUGUUGGAUGAUAGAAAGGUUCAGAUGACGCCUACAGAUUUUUGCUUUGUUGUGAAGUGGGUUGGGCAGUCGAGCUGGCAACGGGCAUUGGAGGUUUACGAGUGGCUGAAUCUUCGCCACUGGUACUCUCCCAAUGCCAGGAUGCUCGCCACUAUAUUGUCGGUGCUCGGGAAGGCCAAUCAGGAAGCAUUGGCUGUGGAAAUAUUUGCCCGAGCAGAGGCUGCAUCUGGUAACACUGUCCAAGUUUACAAUGCAAUGAUGGGUGUUUAUGCCCGAACAGGUCGGUUCACUAAGGUUCAAGAAUUGCUUGAUUUAAUGCGGUCACGGGGAUGUGAGCCAGAUCUUGUGAGCUUCAAUACUUUGAUAAAUGCCCGGUUGAAAUCAGGUACCAUGGUAACAAAUUUGGCAAUUGAACUGCUUAAUGAGGUUAGAAGGUCAGGUAUUCAACCUGAUAUAAUCACUUACAACACUCUUAUUAGUGCUUGUUCACGUGAGUCCAAUUUGGAGGAGGCAGUGAAGGUGUACAAUGACAUGGUGGCUCAUCGUUGUCAACCUGAUUUAUGGACUUAUAAUGCAAUGAUUUCAGUUUAUGGAAGAUGUGGAAUGUCCAGAGAGGCAGGUAGGCUCUUUAAGGACUUGGAGUCAAAAGGGUUUCUCCCUGAUGCAGUGACGUAUAAUUCUCUGCUAUAUGCAUUUGCUAGAGAAGGGAAUGUGGAUAAGGUCAAGGAGAUUUGCGAGGACAUGGUAAAAAUGGGUUUUGGAAAAGAUGAAAUGACUUAUAACACCAUUAUCCACAUGUAUGGAAAGCGAGGACAGCAUGAUCUAGCAUUUCAGCUUUAUAGUGACAUGAAACUGUCAGGCCGAAGUCCUGAUGCUGUUACCUACACUGUUUUGAUUGAUUCACUUGGGAAAGCAAAUAUGAUAAAGGAGGCUGCAGAGGUGAUGUCCGAGAUGUUGAAUGCAAGAGUUAAACCCACUUUGCGAACUUUCAGUGCUUUGAUUUGUGGGUAUGCCAAGGCCGGGAAGAGGGUGGAGGCUGAAGAGACUUUUGAUUGCAUGUUGAGGUCCGGGAUCAAACCUGAUCAUCUAGCAUACUCUGUUAUGUUAGAUAUCCUUUUAAGGUUUAAUGAGAGUGGGAAGGCAAUGAAGUUGUAUCAAGAAAUGGUUCUUCAUAGUUUCAAGCCGGAUCAUGCCCUUUAUGAGGUCAUGCUUCGAGUACUUGGGAAGGAAAACAGAGAGGAAGAUGUUCACAAAGUGGUCAAGGAUAUGGAGGAGUUAUGUGGUAUGAACUCACAAGUUAUUUGUUCUAUUCUUGUUAAGGGGGAAUGUUUUGACCAUGCUGCUAACAUGUUGAGAUUGGCCAUCAGCCAGGGCUGUGAACUUGACCGUGAGAAUUUGUUAUCUAUUUUGGGUUCAUAUGGUUCAUCUGGAAGACACUUGGAGGCACGGGAGUUGCUUGAUUUCUUGAGAGAACAUUCUUCUGGAUCGCAUCAAUUGAUAAAUGAGGCUCUGAUUAUCAUGCUUUGCAAGGCUCACCAGCUGGGUGAUGCUUUGAGAGAAUAUGGCAAAGCUAGGGAUUUUGGUUUGUUUUGUGGAAGUUUCACCAUGUAUGAGUCCUUGCUUCUGUGCUGUGAAGAAAAUGAACUCUUUGCUGAAGCUUCUCAGAUAUUUUCUGAUAUGAGAUUUUAUGGUGUGGAACCUUCUGAUCACCUUUACCGAAGCAUGGUAGUUACAUAUUGUAAAAUGGGAUUCCCUGAGACAGCUCAUUAUUUGAUUGAUCAGGCAGAGGAAAAAGGCCUUCUAUUCGAUGAUGUAUCCAUCCAUACUGGUGUUAUUGAGGCAUAUGGGAAAUUGAAGCUGUGGCAAAAAGCAGAAAGCUUGGUUGGAAGUCUUCGACAGAAGUGUACAAUGGUGGAUCGGAAGGUUUGGAAUGCCUUAAUACAUGCUUAUGCAGCAAGUGGCUGCUAUGAGCGAGCAAGGGCUAUUUUUAAUACAAUGAUGAGAGAUGGUCCUUCCCCAACUGUAGAUUCCGUGAAUGGUCUCAUGCAAGCUUUAAUUGUUGAUGGGAGACUAGAUGAGCUCUAUGUGGUAAUACAGGAGUUGCAAGAUAUGGGUUUUAAGAUAAGUAAAAGUUCAAUUACACUGAUGCUUGAUGCAUUUGCACAUGCAGGGAACAUAUUUGAGGUGAAAAAAAUAUACCAGGGAAUGAAGGCUGCCGGUUAUUUUCCUACCAUGCAUCUCUACAGAAUCAUGAUUGGGUUGCUAGCCAAGGGAAAACGAGUAAGGGAUGUUGAAGCAAUGGUUUCUGAGAUGGAAGUAGCAAGAUUCAAGCCCGACCUUUCUAUAUGGAAUUCUGUGCUCAAAUUAUACACAGGAAUUGGGGAUUUUAAAAAGACGGGUCAGGUGUAUCAGCUGAUUCAAGAAGCUGGACUUAAACCAGAUGAGGACACUUACAAUACUUUAAUAUUAAUGUACUGUAGAGAUCGUAGACCAGAAGAAGGUUUGUCCCUGAUGCAUGAAAUGAGAAGGGUUGGUUUGGAGCCUAAAUUGGACACUUACAAAAGCCUGAUUUCAGCAUUUGGGAAACUGCAGAUGGUAGAACAAGCUGAGGAACUUUUUGAAGGGUUGCUGUCAAAAGAGUGUAAAUUGGAUCGCUCUUUUUAUCAUAUUAUGAUGAAAAUGUUUAGAAAUUCUGGAAACCAUUCCAAAGCUGAAAAGCUACUUGGCGUGAUGAAGGAAGCUGGAGUAGAACCUACCAUUGCCACAAUGCACUUACUUAUGGUUUCUUAUAGUGGUUCUGGACAGCCAGAGGAAGCUGAAAAAGUUCUUGAUAAUUUGAAAGUGGAAGGUUUACCUCUUAGUACACUACCGUAUAGUUCAGUUAUUGAUGCUUAUCUUAAGAAUGGUGACCAUAACGUUGCCAUUCAAAAGCUUAUGGAGAUGAAGAAAGAUGGUCUGGAGCCAGACCACAGAAUAUGGACAUGCUUUGUUAGGGCUGCGAGUUUAUCCCAGCACACAAGUGAAGCUAUAGUCCUCUUAAAGGCACUCCGUGAUACUGGAUUUGAUCUUCCAAUCAGGUAUGAGUACUCAAUGUAUUUUGCUUUUCUUUCAUUUUUUUUCUUUUGGAUAUCAUUCAUGUGGAUGUAUUCCUAAAUGAUUCACCUUUGUAGGCUUCUCACAGAAAAAUCUGAUUCUCUAGUUUCUGAGGUAGACAAUUGUUUGGAGAAACUAGGACCCCUGGAAGACAAUGCAGCCUUCAACUUUGUCAAUGCUCUCGAAGACCUAUUGUGGGCAUUUGAACUCCGGGCUACUGCUUCAUGGGUUUUCCAAUUGGCAGUUAAGAGGAGUAUCUAUCGCCAUGAUGUGUUCAGGUAUCUAGUUAGUUCUUUUCUUUACUAUCUCUAUGCUUAUUCUUUGUUUAUCAAGGUUAGAAUUUUUGCUUUUUCUGAGAAGAGCAUGACUAGCCUUGGAGUAUCCUCCACCUAGAUGUUAAAGGGCUGAAAUGAUCUUUGAUAACGAGUUACCAGUAGAAUUAUACCUGUUGAAUUUUUAUUGCAAAAAUUCAUUCAUGUCCAAUUAAUGACGGGUCCAACUUGGAGUGAGCCACGGAAAGAUAGUCUUAGUUUUUCUAAUAUUCAUUAGCUUUCUUACACCUGACCGCUUGGUCUUUUCUAUGCAGGGUAGCUGAAAAAGAUUGGGGAGCUGAUUUUAGAAAGAUGUCUGCUGGUUCUGCUCUUGUUGGCCUCACUUUGUGGCUUGACCACAUGCAGGCAAGUUUUAUUCCCUUCUAAAUAUUCUCUGCAUUUUUAGCAUUUAGCAGUGUUAUUUAACAUCUGAAAGUAUAAUAAAUAUAAACAUGACACAAUAACUUGUUAUCAUCAUUAUCAUCUGACUAAAUUUCUUCAAGUCCUCAUAUUAUUGGUAGCAUUAUCAUUAUUACUGUAAUUAUUAUUCUUGACCUAGUGAUUGGACCCCCUAUUGGCCAUAUAUACAACAUCUCAUAAGUGGACAGAGAUGUGUCAACUAGGAUUUUUAUGAGGGACCUCAUACCUAAUACAAUAUUGGCAAAGUAUCAGUAAUAUUAUUGAUUUUUUAGUCCUUGAUUCAAUCUGAGAACCUUGCUGAGUAACUCUAUCCACCAUGGAUAAACAUAGAACUGGUUCAUAUUUGGUUGCUUGCCUGGCCUUUACAAAGCCAUCAGCUCCACCUAAUCCUAGGACACUUUUGGUGGCCUUAGCUUAAUUACAUCUUAAGUUAUCCUUAAUGUUAUUUUCCAAUUUCUUAAGGCUUUUUGAUUACCAUUUUUGUGCAAUUAAUGGAAGAAUACUUUUAUUUUUGGCAGGAUGCAUCAUUACAAGGUUAUCCCCUGUCUCCAAAAUCAGUUGUUCUGAUAACAGGAACUGCGGAAUAUAACAUGGUUUCCCUAAACAGCACAUUAAAGGCAUUCCUUUGGGAAAUGGGUUCUCCAUUUCUUCCUUGUAAAACACGGAGUGGGCUACUUGUAGCAAAGGCCCACUCCCUCAGGAUGUGGUUGAAAGACUCUUCAUUUUGCUUGGAUCUUGAGUUGAAAGAUGCGCCAUCACUUCCUGAAUCAAAUUCGAUGCAACUGAUGGAAGGGUGUUUCCUAAGACGUGGCCUUGUUCCUGCUUUCAAGGACAUAACUGAGAGACUAGGAGAUGUAAGGCCAAAGAAAUUUGCUAGAUUGGCUUUGCUACCAGAUGAGAAAAGAGAUAAAGUCAUUCGAGCGGAUAUAGAAGGUGGGAAAGAGAAGUUGGAAAAGAUGAAGAAAAAGGUUGGGGUGAAGAGGAGAAGGAAGCUUGUGAGAAGAAAAUUCAUUCGAGGAGUUGUGCUAUCAAAACCUGUAGAGAUUAGAUAAAAAAAACAAGCCUUGAAAUAGUCACCUAAUAAAAAGACGUCUCGCUGCCUUGCAAUAAAUUAAUUCUUUACUUCUAUCCCUUCUCAAUUUUGAUUAUGCCUUGAAGAGAAUCAGAAAGAUACACAAUGAUGUUUUUUAAAGGAAUGGAAAAUAUAUUAAAACUGAUAGUUGAAUGUUAAAAUGUUUUACAUGUUUUUCCUAUUACUGCAUACCAACUGCUGGACAUCCAGGAUUCAUUCUGAGAGUUUCAUUCCAUGCAGUUCAUCAACAAUUAAGAGAAUCCUACUGUAAGUGAAUCCUUUUUGUUAGGUUGCUGUAAAAGCUUGCAUUGUAUAUUACCUUCAACACUUCUUUUUUUACUUUCCCCUUGAUUCCCUGCAAUUGUGGCCCUGCUUUGGUUAGAUUUAUUUGUGAUAUUUAGGCACUGUUAGCAUCUCAGUGGCAGUUCAAAAGACUGUAUUGGGCUGUGUACUCCCUUUUAGUGGCUGCUUCUUUCUUUUUCCUUGACAUUUUAUGCAAAAUGACCAUGGUUUGGUGAGUGAUUCUUUGAAAUUUUUUGCAGUUAGCAUUAUGAAAGCACUUCAAAAGCUGAAAGCUCAAGAGCUGAAAAGAAGAUUUUUGGUUUAAAACCAAAUGUACCUUCUAGGAAGCAAGAAAUGAAAAAAGUUUAAAUUCCAUUUCUUUUCCUUCCCAUUUCUUCAGCUUGGGAGUUCUCCUUUUCUCGAGGGAGACCAAUCGGAAGUGCCCAAGUCUUAUUCCUUCAUUUUUUCCCAUUCCCUCUCUAUGAAAAGAGGCCUUGCUGUUUCUCCGAUAUUUCUUCUCCAUUUCCACAAAGAUUAACACUAAGAACUGUCAAGGAGAGUUGGUGACAUUCAGCAAGGUUUCCAAAAUACUGCACUAGUUCUAGCUCCCUUCUGAAUGAUCGUCGUAGAGAUAAUUUCUGUGUGCUUGGAUAUGUAAUCUGCAUUUUAUCAAUGUAUAGGACCCUUUUGUGACUUUUCUGAGUUCUGACCUGUUCAUAACCUAGAAUGGAUAUCAUUUAAUGCGAACCAGAUAUAUUUCAAUUGAACUACAGUGUUUUUAUAUUUUUAUCAAAGUUUCUGUUGUGUCCUUACUAUCUUUGGCAUAUUGAUAUCUUAGAUAAUUUGCACUUGAACAAUUUAGUAGAAUGAAUAUGAAGGAUUAUACUUUGCUUGAGAGGGUUUGAGGUUUUCUUUUGAAUGGAAGUGAAUCAGUCAUAUCCACUGUAGGAUUGGCUAGUGACUGACUACACUUUGGAUGAGUAAUGUGUAAAAACAGCUAAUUUUGUGAUAACGUCUGUGAGAGAAGGCAGAUUUCUAUUUUUGAUUUUCUACUCAAAGAUUGGAGAAAAUUAAGCAAAAUCCAGGCACACAAAUCUUGAUUUGCAAGGGUGGAGAACUUUCUUGCUCUCAUUUUUCCAACUUAGAGAAAAAAGAAAGACUAUUAAAGCCUGUUCUUUCGUAGAUAUUUCUGCUGAGAAGGUUUAGGGAAACUUUGGGCGUCUUCUGAAUAAAUCAGAUAACAGGCUUCUAGUUCCAGUUCACUUACUUUUUCAUGGAGAUGGCUUUCUCACCACUACCUUUUAGAGGCUUAUUUUUCCUGGCAGAGUGCAACCAGGAAAGGGUUUGGUUUAUGACUGAGGGCCUACAAUGUCUCUCUCUCUCUCUCUCUCUCGUGGGAUUUAAUUUCUCAUAAUUUCUACCUUGCUUUGUUUUUUUAAUUUUUUGAAGAAGGAAAAAUGCAAGAAACCUUGUUUUGCUGGAUGCUUUCUAGAAAUGGGUUUGAGAAUGAUGCUAAAACGGUGCCAUUUUUAUGGAGGAUACCAGAAAGAUGUUCUUGACCAUUAUCAUUCUCAAGGCUUUUAGCCCAAGUAGGUUUAAACUUUUGCAUGAACUUAAUUGCUUAACGAGCUUGAAUGACAUGAACCUGGCCAUGUGCAUUUGACAAUCAGCUGUGUCUUCAUCUACAUGCAUGAAGAUCAGUCCCAUCUCCAUUUUUGAGUUGCAUUCUCAAAAAGAAGGAACAAAGCCCCCUCUUUGUUCAUCUUUCUCCUUAUCUCUCUCUCAACCACAACAUUUCUUCUGUGCUCUAAUUCUUCAAAUGUGUGACAGAUUUCAGGGUUGCUGCUUUGAAGAUCCACUGGAUUGAGUUCACAUCAUCACAGGUAACAGUUCUGAUGUGAAACCAUGAAGUUUUGUUUGUGUGCUCAUGUGAAUCCAUUAUCAGCAUGUGUCUGUUCUGCAAUUUGUGAAUCCAUUAUCAAAUUCUAUGAAUUCAAGAUACAUGUGUUUAUAAGACUAAACACCUGAUUUUACUUUGGUUUGUCAAUCCACAGAUCAAAUCUUCAGCAUGAGUUUUUUUUUUUUACCUUUUUCCUUUUUCGGGAGGGUGUCAAAUGGGAAGGAUGACCAUAGCAAAGAGAUAUGUGUGGGAAAAGAGAUAAUUGUUGCUAAAAUAUUUUACCAUUAUGGAGUGAAUGGAAUGGUUUUACAUGUAGCUAAAAAAAAUUAAAUGCAAAUGCAGGUUGUGUCAUACUGUAGUUUGAUACUUCAGAAUCAUCUUGCUACCAAAUAUACUUGUUUCCUUAUUUUUCCUGGCACAUUUAUCGAAUGAUUGAGAUAUGAGAAGUGGGGUAACUGAAUGUUGGCCAAAAGAAUUCGCUACCAUAAUUCAUGUCACCAAAGAUUCAUGCAUUUCCUUUAAUUGGUUUAAGAGGACAACACAUUCAUUCAUUGGCUAUUAGAUUCUUCUAUAAACUUGGACAUCACAAAUUCACUACUAUAGUAAAAAUCCUUGCAUCUGUCUGCCCCCAAAUGUUCCCUGUUCAUCAUUUUCAGAUCUUACUUGGAGUCCCAAAGUUGAAAAAUGUUGGAAAGUCAAUCUUCCAUAUUAAGAAUAGAUGAUCUGUAUAUUAGUCUUCCUAUUGUAAUCCUUGACUUAUAGUUGGACAACCUAGAAUGUAGUAGCUAAUUCCUGACUUGUAGGAAAAGAUCACAAAUCUCCCUAUAUAAAUACACAAUUUAGCAUCAAUAAUAUUUAUUCAACCAAUUCCCUCUGUCAUUCAUCUUUUCAUGGUAUUAGAGCAGGACUAAGAUCCUAACUCAUCGCUGCACUCUAAUAUCUCGUGUAACAUCUCUUUUUUUUAGUCAUCAUGGCCAACGAUGAGGUGCCACCAAUGCCUCCGGUCCCUGGCAAGAAAGCUGUUGGCUCUAGUACAACAAAAUCAAAGAUUCCUACAGAUUUCUCAAAGGCAGAUAUUUCCAACCCUAUUUCACUCACCAUUCAGAUUACCUAGGUUUGCUUUUGAUUUCCAAAUCUUUGAAUGGAGACAAUUAUUUGGCUUGGAAAAGGGCUAUGAUUCUAGCUUUGAAUUCCAAGAACAAAUUGGGUUUUGUCAAUGGCUCGAUUAAGGCUCCUUUAGAAGAAACUGAUCUUAAAGGUUAUGCGACUUGGUCACGGUGUAACAACAUGGUUCACUCCUGGAUCGUCAAUACUCUCAAUCCAGAAAUCGUGGACAAUGUAAUCUAUUAUUCUACUGCUUAUGAAGUUUGGGAAGAUCUUCGUGAGCGGUUCUCUCAAAGCAAUGCACAUCGCAUCUUUGAAAUUCAACAAGAUAUUGCUUGUCUUCGACAAGAGCAACUCUCUGUCUCUGCCUAUUACACAAAAUUGAAAGGUCUGUGGGAUGAACUAGCUUCCUACAAUGUUGCACCACAUAGGGCACAACAAGAUCAACAAAAAUUGAUGCAAUUUCUGAUGGGAUUGAAUGAAUCUUACAGUGCUAUUCGUGGGCAAAUCCUCCUAAUGAAUCCUCUCCCUUCUGUCCUCCAAGCAUACUCCUCUGUCUCUCAAGAAGAAAAACAUUGCCUUCUUACUUCGACGAAUGCAACAACGGAAUUUGCCGCAAGUGCUGCUAUGGCUGUGUGCAGCAACAACAAGUCUUUGGUGGCCUGGAAGGACAAAAUAGAUCGAUCGAACACAGGAAUGAUGGAACCGACUAAUCGCCCCUCUGGUUCUCAAAAUUUCCAGGUGAAUCAGUCUUUUUAGGGGUAAGAUGGCAGACGUUUUUUUUUUUAUCAAGAUCGGUGCCGCAUGGGUUCGAGAAGAGGAUGCCCCCAGUGCUCGUAUUAUGGAGAUAUGGGCCAUUGGGUCCAAAAGUGUUUUCAACUACAUGGAUACCCACUAGGCUAUCCUAAAGCAAGAAUGAACUUAGACUCAAAUUCAAGUCGAUAUAAAGGUUUUUCUGCGGCUAACCAAGUUUCUGAGGCAGAUGAAGGGAGACCUGCAGUUGCAUUAUCAGAAGCCCAACUCAAGCAACUUUUGUCAUUUUUUAAUAACCAAGAUGAAGGCUCUAGUUCCAAAGUGAAUGCGGUAACAAAGCUAGGUUUGUCCAAAAUCGCUUCCCGAAAUUGGAUUAUUGACAGCGGGGCGACGGAUCAUAUUACUUCAUCAUCUAAGUUAUUGCAUAAAGAUAAAAAUUGCUCAUUACCGCCCGUAUUGUUGCCUAGCGGAGAAAAAGUGACUAUUGUUGCGAAAGGGUCUUUGCCUCUGAAUUCUGUCUAUUAUUUGCAUGAUGUGUUAUCUCAAAGUUGAUUUAAUAUCAGUUAGUCGUUUGACAAGAGGUCUGAGUUGUUCAGUGACGUUUUUCCCUUAUUGGUGUAUUUUGUAGGAUCUGGCUAUGAGGAAGACGAUUGGUUUGGGUAAACAACGUGACAAACUAUACUAUUUGGUGGCACUAGUGACAAAGAAAUCUUUGACCAACCAUUCCUCAUCCACAAACCAACUAGCCUACAAUCUUGCCAUUUUUUCCAUUGAUCUCUGGAAUAGUCGCUUAGGCCAUGUAUCACCUUCUCAUUUGAGUUUCAUUGUUAAGAAUUUUUUCGUUUAGUCCAAUAAUGCUUGCCCUAUAUGUCCUUCGACUAAGCAAAGUCGUUUUCUUUUUGGUACUAGUGCUAUUUCUUCUACAAAACCUUUUGAGAUUAUUCAUUGUGACAUUUGGGGUUGUUAUCAACACCCUUCUCUUUCUGGUGCCCAUUACUUUCUCACUAUUGUUAAUGAUUAUACACAUUUCACAUGGAUAUUUUUAAUGCGACAUAAAGAUGAAGCACAAUCACUUUUAAAACACUUCUUUAGCUAUGUUUUCACACAAUUUGAAUUUCGCACUAAAAAUUUUUGAAGUGACAAUGGUGGAGAAUUUUUCUCACUUCGUUCCUUUUUUCAAGAUAAUGAUAUCAUCUUUUAGCAUUCUUGCAUUUACACGCCUCAACAAAAUGGGCUUGUGGGACGCAAACAUCGUCAUAUUUUACAAGUAGCCCGAGCUUUGAAAUUUCAUGCUAAACUUCCCACUCAAUUUUGGGAGGAGUGUGCUCUCAUUGCCGUACACAUCAUCAAUUUUUUACCUUCACCAGUAUUGUCUUUCAAAACUCCAUUUGAAUUGCUUUACUCAAAACCACCUUCUUACUCUCAUCUUCGUGUUUUUGGAUGUUUAGCCUAUGCCACCAAUGUUCACAUUUCUCACAAAUUUGACUAGCGUGCCAUGCCAUGCCAUCUUCGUCGGUUAUCCUACCUGUCAGAAAGCAUACAAAUUAUUUGAUUUAUCAACCAAAAAGGUCUUUACUAGUCGAGAUGUCAAAUUUCAUGAAGAUAUUUUUCCUUAUGUCUUUCUCAAGCCCAACUCUACUUUCCCUUCGUUGACCCAUAAUUCUGGCCCAAUCCCUUUGGUGCCCCAUGACAUCCCUUCCUCUCUUGACUCUUUUUUUUGACUCUAUUUCUCACGUACCUUCCUCUCUUCUUUUCGACCACACAAGCACACCGUAUUCUCCCAUAGAAAAUGACGACCUUCCUUCUCCUUCUUGACCGUCUGAACUCGCUCCCUCUUCUUCGAUGCUGGCACCAGCCCCACCCUCCAUUCUUCGUACCUAUACCCGAAGCCUAAAACCUUUCUCCUUACUAAACAAUCCUACCCUGAUCGAACCUUCUUCUCAGAUCGAUCUAAACCCUCCACCAUUGCCUUUUGCAACUCCAACAUUGCCUUCUCCGAUGUUGCCAUUCGCAUCCAUCCUGUCUGCUCCUCCAGACCAAACGUCCCUCUUUUCACCAAAAACACACUCACUUGAACCAGCUACUCCGCUCUAGCCACCAUAUCGCCUCGCCGGUCAAGCUCCACGAUUAUGUCUGCUCCCACAUUUGCUCUAAUCAAUCUUCUUUCUUGAUUCCAGGUCCGACCAAAGGUACACGAUAUCCACUAGCCAAUUAUGUUUCUCAUCACAUAUAUAAGCCUGCAUAUAGAUCUUUUGUUGCUCAACACAGUGUUGUCAUAGAACCCAGGUCUUAUUCGGAAGCCGUUGCUCAUCCUGAGUGGCAGGAGACAAUGAGUUCCAAAUUGCAGGCUCUCCAAGCUAAUGACACUUGGUCUCUCACUCCACUUUCGACCGGCAAGACGCCGAUUGGCUGCCGAUGGGUGUAUAAAAUUAAACACCGUUCAGAUGGGUCCAUCAAGCGUUACAAAGCACUAUUGGUAGUGAAGGGCUUCACUCAAUUAGAAGGUGUUGAUUAUCAAGAUACCUUUUCUCCCACUGCCAAGAUCAUAUCAGUGCGUUGCUUGCUUGCAUUGGCUGCAGCCCAUGGCUGGUCUUUUCAUCAAAUGGAUGCCAACAAUGCCUUUCUUCACGAUGACUUACAUGAGGAAAUAUAUGUCUCCGUCGCCAUGGCUUCGAUAACAGAGGAAGGAAAACUUGGUAUGUCGCCUUCAUAAAUCACUCAACGGUUUGAAACAAGCAUCUCGCUAGUGGUUCACCAAGUUCUUAGAAGCUAUUCGAUCCACCGGUUAUGCACAAUCUCGAGCCGAUUAUUCUUUGUUCACCAGAAAACAAGGCAAGUCCUUUACUGCCCUCUUGAUAUAUGUUGAUGAUAUUCUGAUUACUGGAAAUGAUCCUGUGAGCAUUGCUGUAACUAAAAAAUUUCUGCACAAUCAUUUUCAUCUCAAAGAUCUGGGUGAUUUAAAAUACUUUCUUAGCAUUGAGGUUUUUGCUUCUAAAAAUGAGAUUUUUAUUUCCCAACAUAAGUAUGCAUUAGAGAUUAUUGAGGAUGUAGGACUGUUGGGCACUACCCCUAUUGAUACACCUAUGGAACGAGGAUUGAAAUUGUCUGAUAAGAGUGAUUUGCUUAAGGAUCAAGGUCAUUAUAGGAGAUUGGUUGGAAGGUUAAUAUAUCUAACUGUGUCGAGGCCAAAUAUCACUUAUGCAGUUCAUGUGUUAAGCCGGUUUAUGCAUUAACCGAGAAAGGCUCAUAUGGAAGCAGCGCUCAGAGUUGUGCGUUAUCUCAAGAAUGCACUUGGCCAGGGUUUGUUAUUCUCUUCGAAUAAUGAUUUCAGAUUGAGAGCCUACUGUGAUUUAGAUUGGGCAGGUUGUCCACUUACUAGAAGGUUCACUACAGGCUAUUGUGUAUUCCUUGGACCUUCACUGAUUUCUUGGAAAUCAAAGCGACAUAAAACAAUGUCACUUUCUUCAACCGAAGCAUAAUAUCGUGCAAUGACAGGAGCUUGUUGUGAGUUGACAUGACUUUGGUACCUUUUGAGAGAUUUGGGUGUUUUACAUAAAGAACCUGCCUUGUUGGCUUGUGACAACAAGGCAGCGUUGCACAUUGCAGCCAACCCUGUUUUCCAUGAGUGUACUAGACACAUUGAGAUGGAUUGUUACUAUAUUAGGGACAAGAUCCAAGAUGGUUCCAUUAUUACAAGACAUGUGAGCUCAGCGCACCAACUUCUAAACAUUCUGACCAAACCAUUGGGAAAGGAGAUUUUUGCUCCUAUGAUUCGCAAGUUGGGAGUACAAGAUAUCCACUCUCCAACUUGAGGGGGAGUGUUGGAAAGUCAAUCUUCCUAAAUCUUCCAUAUUAAGAAUGGAUGAUUUGUAUAUUAGUCUUCCUAUUGUAAUCCUUGACUUAUAGCUGGACAACCUAGAAUGUAGUAGCUAAUUCAUGACUUAUAGGAAAAGAUCACAAAUCUCUCCCUGUAUAAAUACACAGUUUAGGAUCAAUAAUAUUUAUUAAGCCAAUUCCCUCUGUCAUUCAUCUUUUCAAAAAACUAUGACUGAAAACCAUUUCCUUCAAACACAAAAGACAAGGAAUCAAGUUUGAUGAUUGUACUAAAGAGCAUAAAAUAGGAGAAACGAAUGAAGGGAAUUGAACAUUGAACUGAUCACAUCUUAAGAUCUAGGAAUGUACCAAAAAGAAAUAAGAACAAAGAAAAGAAGUUGAUAAUGCAAGUUUAUGUUUACAGUUUAUUCAUUAAGUUGUUGGGGUUGUGUAUAUAUAUAUAUAUAUAUACUAUUGGCUGUAGAUAAAAGGAACUGAAAAUGGUUCAUAUCAUUUGUUCUUUUGUCAAAUAUUUCCUAACUACUAAACUGAGUUGUUUGGCUGUAAAGUGUUUUGAGUCUAAUGAGAUUGAAUACCAGUUCCUAUUUGGUUAAGUCCUUUGUAGUUUUCUUAUGUUUAUGUUGAAUGGUCACCUUAAUUUGAUGCAGAAGAUGGAUCCCUAGUAUUCCAAAUGGAGAAUGAAGAAGUCCCGGAUGAGAUGCAUCCCAAUAAUUUAGACAUUCUGGGGAGGAUGUGCCUCUGAUUAUUUCAACAAUGUACACUUGGAAGUGCUUUGUAACUUUCUCUUCUUUCUUCUUUCUUCUUUCUUUUCCCUCUCUCUCUCUCUUCCUCUCUGUCUCUGUCUCUGUCUCUGUCUCUGUCUCUUUCUCUCUCUCCGGUAUUCCAAAUGGAGAAUGAAGAAGUCCCGGAAGAUAUGCAUCCCAAUAAUUUAAACAUUCUGGAGAGGAUGUGCCUAUGAUUAUUUCAACAAUGUACACUUGGAAAUGCUUUGUAAUUUUCUCUUCUUUCUUCUUUCUUUUUUAUCUCUCUCGCUCUUUCUCUUAAUUACUUAGUUAUAUAUAUAUAUAUAUAUUCUUGAUUAUUAUUUAUUAAUCAUAAAUUGAAUUAAACCAAUUUAAUAAUUCUUUAUGCAAAUUUGGUCAGUUCUCAAUACAUCCAAAUUUAAAAAUUUUUAGUACAUAAAGUUGCAUUGGUUAAAUUGUAGACAUGUCUAAUUCUCACUUAGGGGUGAUAAUUUGUGUUGGUGGGUCGUGUUUGUGUCAUGUCAAAACUUAGGCAUUUGAUUACAUAGCUUAUCAUGUAAAAAACAUAAGUCUGUAAUACAUUGCAUUCCUAACCUUGUUUAGCUAUUGAGAAAAUGUAAAAACAAAACGAAUCAAAAAUUUUAAAUUGUAAUAUCCAUCGACCUCACUACAACUAGUCAACAUAAUUGAAUAGAGAUUUCAAUUUCCUUCUAGAAACCAAAUCAAAGAAAACCUAUAACAACCCAAAAUUCCAAUCUCCUCUUUUUUUCGUCACUUUCUCUGCAACUAACCAAAUAACAACAUAUAAAGUCAAACCACCCAAAUCCUGCAUUUCAUUGAGCAUUUCACAAACAAAAACAAUUUCAUCCAAAUGGGUACCCUUCAAAAUCAACCCAUAAACCAAAAACUAAAAAAAGAAAAAAGAAAAAAAGAAAAACAAACAAAAAAGUCAUUCCAAUAAUCACACAAAAAAAUGCCCAUUUGCAUACCCCCAAAAUUCAAAACUCUAAGCUCCCUUAACUCCUUCUUCAGAGGUGGAAGAUCUAUAAUGCCUAAGAAAAGAAUGUAUGAUUAGGUUUUGAAGAUUGGAGUAAGAAGGGGGAGAAGAUAGUAAGAAGAUAAAGACAAAAUGCUGAAAUUGCUAACCACCUACAAAAGGGGGAAAAUGCUGAAAAUUGCACCCCAAACAGGGUUAGGGUUGCAGUUUAUUUCAAACGAAAAUGAAGAUGAAGACUAAGGGAGGGAAAGUUGUUUGGGGAUUUUUGUUGGGCCUUUUUGGGUUUGAGAAUUUACAAAGCUACCCUUCAUUGAUCAGUCACGUGUACAACACGUGAGAUUUUUGUCCACUUAAACUAACACCGUUCAACGAAAAAGAUAAAGUACUGCAAUUUAAGAAGCUUGGUGUGCAAUGUAUUCGAUUUUAAACCUAAAGGGGCAAUGUGCAAAACAUGGGAUAGGUUGAAGGGGGUAAAGUCUAUUAAACCCAAAAACUUAUUAAUACAACUAUCUUACAAUUUUAAAAAUCCAAAAACAAUACCUUCUCGUUCUUCUCUCCCUAGACCCAUCUUCUUCUUCAUUUUUCUUUAAAUUUAUUUAUUUUUCAACCACAAAUCUAAGAGAAAAUUAUUAUAUUCUCUAAAACUCAUUUGAUGUCAUAAGAUUAUUUAAACCACAUUCAUAGUCAAUUGAAAUUUUUUUUUUAUACAUUUUGUUUGAAUCUAUAUAAUAUACCAUGUGAAUAUCUUUUAGGUUUAUUCUUUUUGUAAUUUUGACGAAAAAAAAACUUAUUGUAAAAAUAUUUAAAAAAUAAUCAAGAAGAAUUUAGAAAUGAUUUAAAAGCAAGAAAUUAUGAAAAAAAUACAAUAUAAAUGAAAAAAAUUAAUUCAUGGUGUUUAGAUUUGGUAGGUCAGACACUCUGGAAAGGUCUAAACCUAGAAGUAUAAAGAAAUGUUCCGAAAUAGAUGAAACAAAAAUGUUCGAUUAUAUAAAAUUGAAUAUGCUGUAAUUUAGGGAUUUGAGAAAUUUCCACUAGAUGAUUGAAGGAAGGAGGAGAGCUGGGUUGGGGUUUUAAAAUGAAAUAAUAAUUUUGCCCUCGCUUAAACAUGUCACAUGUUAAUAUAUGUAUCUUCUGUUCAUUACAGCUAAUGUCAUCCCACAACAAAUAUACAUUGUAUGUAUUUAUGAAGUAUGAAUGGUAUAUUGCUCGAUUUUAGAUGUGAGACAAUGUGAAAAACAAUGUAUAGGUUGGAGGUAAAGUAUAAUAAACCCUAAAAUUUUUGUUAAAAAGACAAAAUGAGUUUUGAUGAUGUAAAUAUAAGUUCUAAUUAUUUAUUUUUAAUAAAUUUUAUUUGUUGGGGUCUGAAUCAUGUACACCAGCACCCCAAGUCCAAACACCAAACUAGUUUCACUCCAAGCUCCUUUGGUGUGAAACAACGUGUUCAAGUAACUGGCUUUCCACUUCCUCAACUCCAAGGCCUCCUCACCCCAACCCACAUCCACCAUGACAGUAGCCUUGGAUUCUUCAACAACCACUUGCUCCAGCUUCAGCACAAGCACCACCACAACCUCAAAAAUUUCACACUCCACCCAAAACCAACCCUCCAUCUCAACUGCUCCCCUACUGAAGGUGCAGCAGCUGGAGACAAUUCCCCUCAGGAUCAGCAGCAGUUUGAGGUGAUUUUGGAAAUUUUCUUUCUCCAUAUGGGUAUUUUUUUAUUUAUUUUUGGGUUUUCUCAUGAAUGGUUGAUUGUUUGUCUAUUGCUAGGUUGAUCAGAGAAAUGGGUUUUGGAGUAAAUGGAAGGUGAGGCCUUUAUCCCAAGUUUCUUGUUUAACAAGAUAGAGAUUUUUUUUUUUGGUUCCCCUGAAAUUUGAAUGAUGGUGUGUUUGGUGGCUGAGAAAAUGUGCUUACUACAGAAAGCCAAGAUAUUUUAGUUUCCUUUUAGCUUUUCUUUUCCCUUCAGUUUUCCCAGCAAAAAAUGACAUUGUCAAAAGGUAGCGAGUGGAAAUGGAGAUGUCGGUCAAGCUGAGGUGUCAAGUUAUCCAAUAAAUUCUGAGCUAGGGUAAUGGUUUGACUGGCAUUAAUUUCUCUAGCCCUCCUGAAACCAGUGGUAUGCUAUUGCCGCUCCAGUCCUGAAACAUGCAGGGUGAUUGUGCUGCAUGAGGGCUCUCUUUGAGUUUUCACAAAUCUGAAGUGCUCGCGGGCACAAAGUGCUUAUUAGUGCUAGAACAAUUUGGCAUAUUGCAAUCUCAUAGCAGUCAACAAAACCUGCAAAGAGAGUAGGGUUCUUAUUAGCAUUACAAUCACCCUAAUGGUGAAGAAUGUGCUUGCUAGCAUAGGCAGCCAUUAUUUACAUAUAUUGACUUUGGAUCAAUGAUGUAAAUUGUAACGACCCAUACGAUCUCCUUUACAUAAAGAUCAAACCUGAACUUCAACUCUGAACCUCUAACCCUUGAGCCCUACGAUCUCCGAUUCUCUAAUUUGGUUGAUAAGAUUUUCUGAAUAAAGAAGACAAAAGGAAAAUCUAAUUUAUACCUAGGAUUAUUAGUUGUAAAAAGACUCUUUUACCCUUAAUGAAUUUAAUUAAUUACUUAAUUACUUUAUAAAUUACUAUUUUGCUCCUAGAUUAAAUUUUGGGGUGUUACAGUGGAUCUCUAGGAUGCCUCUUUCAGACCUAGAAGAAGUUGGUCACUGUUACCUUAUUAGUAGCCUCUUAUUCUUUGACCUUAACUAAAAACUUAAAUGUAAUGUACAAGUUGCAAGGCACCACAUGUAUAUUUCAAUAAUGUUUGAUGUUAUUAUUAAAUAAAAAAUUUAUGGUUUGAUCUUUAUGAAAAAGAAAAAUUGGCUUAUGUUGCUUCAAAUCUUCUGCAAUAAUGUUAAAUCAUUAAUCUCAAGGUAGUACUAGAAGAUUUAGUUCAUAUGAAAAUCGCUUGGUUCAUCACCUGCUAUUAGAACAACUUGUAUAAGCGGCAUCUUGAAGAGGGAUGUGAAAUUCUUUAUCUGGAUGACUAGUUCUAUGUGAUGCGGCAUCUUGAAGAGGGAUGUGAAAUUCUUUAUCUGGAUGACUAGUUCUAUGUGAUUGCUCAUGUUUGUGUAUCUUCCAAUACCCCCUUUUCUCCCAUCAUUGUUGCUGACAUAGAAUAUCGGGUUAAACUAUCAUCUGCCCUAAAAAGUUCAAACUUUCAAAUUAUGUUAGGUUCUCGGAAAGUUUAAGGAAUAGAUGGGAAGAAUUGAAGGAAAGAAAAAUGGUAUGGGAAAAUUAUAAAUUUCUUUUAUUGUUUGGUUGUCCAUAAAAAAAAAAACGAGGGAAAGCAAAUUGAUUUCUUGUGAAAUGCACUUUCUCCUAAUUUCUCCUACCUUUUUCAAGGAAAAUAGGGUGGAAUUUUUUUUUUAAGUUUCCUUUUAGUAUUUUCUUUACUUGAAUUUUUUCAUUUCAUCCAAAUAUAAGAAAAGUAUUUUCUUUAGCCAAUAUUUGGUUCUUGGAAAAUAUCAAGGAAAGGAAAGAAAAUGUUACAAAAAAAAAAAAAAAAAUUCUUAUUUUGGAUCUUAUAGAAAAUGAUGAGGAAAACAAUUCUAAAGAAAAGAGGAGGGAAAAUGUUAAAAGAUUUUUCUCCCCAUUUUCCUUAGAUAACAAUAAGAAAAGUUUGGGAAAAGUGUGUUCCUCAACAAUUUAGUUUUCUUCCCUUCAACUCUUCCAUUGAUGCCUAAAUAAGUGCAUGAUAAAUUUUAUAAAUUUUCCAUGCCUUUUUUCUUUACUUUACUCCUAAUUUCAGGAACCAAACCGAACAUAACCUUGGUAAUUCUUUUUUUGUCCCUUUUCUAAGUACUUUCAUAGAACCAAACAUAGCAUUUUCUCACAUGGAGAGGAGUAACUGAACCCAAGAACUCAGAACUCUGAUAUUCAGUGUUUGCACCGAUAGUUAAACUGCUAGGGACAUAGACCAACGCUAUACAUUGAACUGAACGAAAACACCAUUGUUUCAGCCCAGCUCUUGUGCUUAUUCAUUUUCCUUCAUCUUAUCUCGAUCAGCCUUUCGGUUUGCCUAACCCGGUUUUUCUUUUGAUUUGCAGAUUGUUAUCUAGAUGUGGACAGGAAACAACAUCACAAGACCAUUUAGAGUAGCUGGGGCAGCUGCAUUGUCACCCUUUAUUGACAAAGGACUAAGGAGGAUCCAAAAGUACUUCAAUUUCCCAAAUUUUGUAUAUGCAUUUGCGCUUGUGGUAUCUGCAGUUGCUGCGCCAUGUUUAACAGUUGCUGGCUUACUUAUCCUCUCCAGAUGGGGAAAAUGAUAAUUUGGAGUAUAAUCAAGGCUCUCAAUGAAGAAGGUUUCUCAUUCCUUCAUGUAAGACUGUACACAUUCCUUCUAUGAAGUAAGUUUUUGAUAUCGGCAUCGUUCUCUAAUAAGUUAGCUUGAUAUACAUUGUUGGCUUAGUCCCUAAUCUUUUAAGCGUUUUGGUAACCAUUAACAUGGAUUUAGAGCUUUGGUUCUCCGAUAUCUUGAGUUCAUAUGACUCAUAUUUUAUAAUUUGAAAAUAAUUGUCUUAUUUACUAUAAGACGUCAUUCUAGGAUUUUCAUUUGAUUAUCUAGGACAUGAAAGAACUCGAGUUGUUCAUGGGUUUAGUAUGGUGUGGUAAUUCCAACCUGAUCUUGGGUUGAGAUUAGUGCAUGUUAGUCUUUUAGGUUGUCCAUCCCAUUUGUAGUUUGAUUAAUUUUCGGUCAUUAUAUUAAGAAAUACGAUUUACUUGAUAAAGCCUUAUUGAGAAUGAACCUCAUCAAUGCCUAGAUCCCCUUCUUUUUAUCUUUGCAUAUAUGGAUCAUUUCCCUAGGUGACACUUUUUUUUUCAUUGAAAGCCCUUCUCCUUAGGAAAUCUUUUGAAAAAAAUAAAAAAUAAUUCAAAUUACAAGUUCCAAGAAAACUAUUUUGUGCUAAAUAAAUUACUAAAUCUGUUUCCAAGUUUGGAAAAGAGUUUUCUAUUUUUAAGGAUAGAGAGCUAUUUUUAAAUCUAGGACCAAACAAACUCUUAUUUAAUUUGUGUGGAGAUGGCACAUGUAUGUACCUAUCCCUUGCUAACCCUAACCAUAAAAAAAGAAAAAGGGAGUGAAAUGGAAGGGAAGAAAAGGGGAAAGGAAAGGAAAAGGGAAGGGAAAAUAAAAAAGUAAAGGAAAAGGAAAUGAAGUUAGAGAAAGGGAGAGUUAGGGUUAGGGAUGACAAUGAGGUGAGUUUUUUUCGGGUACUCGCCUUGUCUCACCCCUAAUGGAACGGGCUUGAAAUUUAAAAAUAAUGGGGUCAAGUAUUGUCUUGUCCAUCCGGCUUGGCCAUUUAAAAUAAUUUAAUUUGAAUAUUAUUUUUCUUUUUGGGAUGAGUUUGAAAUUUAAAUAAACGAGUUUGAGAUUUUUUUUAGAACUUGAGAUGGGGUCAAGUAUUGUUUUGUCCAUCCCCUCGGCCUACCCCGAUUAUAUACAAAAUUAAUUUAAUUUGAUUUUUAUUUUCCUUUUUUAAUAAAUAGAUGAUAAAUACUCAUCAAUAAAAUAAGUUACAAAAAUUACAAUAAUUUAAUUAUUUAUAAAAUAUAUUUAUUUUAAUGUAAUUAAAAAAUGUUAAAAUAAUUUUUAAAAAACAAUUUAAAAUUUUCAAAAAAAAAAAAGUUAAAUGGGGCGGGUAUGGGAAUUUCUCAUACCCACCCCACCCUGUUUCGUUUAAUUUUUUUAAUGUGACAAGGAUUAGAAUUAUUUUGAAUAAAUGGACGAGGUUGAGAUGAGGACAACUCGUCCUGAACUCGACCUGUUAUCAUCACUAGUUAGGGUACAUAUCAUGCAACAAAUGUUUUGAGUAGAUAUGGAACGUGAGGAAGAUGAUUACAUUUUUUCCUUUCCACAUCAAAUUUUGAAUUUUAAAAAAAAUUUGAAAAUGGGUUUAGGUGGAUAUAUAAUUUUUGAAGAGGACGACAUAUCUUAAUUAUAAAAAUACAAACUUAAAUACUCUAAAUAAGAAAACAUUACCUUGAAAUAAUUUUUAAGAGGUGUAUGAUAAAGAAGAUAAAAGGCCUAAACCUACUAAUUAAUUUAUUAUGUCUAAUAACAUUAGAUUAUGUUUGGUUGGCUGAAUAGAGUAAGAUAUGAUACAUAUAUUUUAUAAUGUUAUAUCUAUAAGAUAUGUGUAUUAUAGAUAUCAUAUUCAAUAGGAUGCGAUACCUUUAGAUAUUAUAUUAGAUGAAAUAAUAUUUCAAUAUAUUAUAUCCAAUUGGAUAUGUUAUCUCAUGCUAAUAUUUAGUUUGUAAAAAAAUUUAAAAUAAAAAAUAUUUAUGAUUAUAGUAUUUAAAAUUUAUAAAUAAAAAUAUUAUAUUAUGUUGUUAAAUAUAUAAAAUAAUUUAUCUAUAUUAAAUAAUACAUAUAUUAGUCCUAUUUUAAAUAUAUAUAAAAGUUUUUUUCAACUAUAUAUUUAAUUUUUUAAUCAAAAUUAUUUGUGCUACAAAAUAAGUAAUAUAUAAAAUUUAAAAAAAAUGAAGAACUUGACAAGAUAUGUAUGUCUUAUAUUGAAAUUAUGACAUUCAGAUAAAAGAUAUAAAAAAGAGGUGAGAUAAUAUAUCCCAUCACUUAUUUUAUAAGUGAUGAGAUAAUUUAUGCUAUCUUAUUGUUAAGCAAACAUAUGAUAGAAUACAUUAUCCCAUCUCUUAUUUAUCUCACACUAUAUUUAGUCAAAACUUGGCUUUAGUGCAUUUUAGAAUUCCUAUGCCAAGAUCAUUUCAUAAAGUAAUUUAGAUAACUUUAGGGUUUGUUUGGAAAUGUUUUUGAAAACAAUUCUCAAAAAAUAAUUUUUGGUAAUAGUUUCAAUUAUUCUCUAAAUGUUUGUUAAAAAUAUAUGCCAUCUAUAAUGCUUUAUUUUCAUAUGCCAGUCUCCAUGUUUGUAUUGUUAUUUUUUAGCAUAGUUCUUAGAAAGCAAAUGAAAAUAAUUAAAAUAUGUUCUUCAAAGAAUAAUUUUCAAAAAGUUGUUUUCUAUAAAAAAAUUACCAAACUAUUUCAAGUUUAAAAAACAAAAUAUUGUUUUUUAAGAAUAGAAAACAAUUUUCAAAAACAGUUUUCAAACAUGCUCUUAACAUUUACAAAUUCUUUUAAGUAUUCAACAAUGCACCUCUUCAAAAUUUUUAAAAACUCUUCAAUAUUCAAGUCAAAGGAUUGAGCAAUUGGAGCAUUUACUAGAGAAUCAAAUGACAACAUAUUUUUGGAAAGAACCAACUAAAACAUUAUUACUAAAGCACAACCUCCAAAAGGGGAAUUAAUUUAUUUCAUUUUGAUUUCUUAAGGCUAUGUUUGGUUCCUGGAAAGUGUUAAGGAAAGAAAAAAAUGUCAAGGAAAAUGGUUUUUUCAUGUUUGGUUUCAUUAUGGAAAAUAUGAAAGAAAAUUUAAUAUAAUUAUCUAAUCUUUAUAUAAUCGAGAAAAAAAAAAUUGAAGAAGUGAAUAAAAAUAUUUUAUUGACUUUGAAUCUAUUUUUUUUCUUUCUUUUUAGUUUUCCUCUUUUUUUCUUUCCCUCACAUUUUCCCUCAAAUUUAAUGGGAACCAAACAUAGCCUAAGUUUUGUUUUUGUAUCAUUAGUUUUUAUCAAGUCAAUGGUAUGCAUGCUUAGAAAAAGAAAAGAUGAACUAAGCUUUAGGAGAGAAGUCAACACAAAAAGGAAAGUGUUGUCCUUCAUUAAAUGUCGUCCUUUAUUUCAAAUUAUAGGAAAUGAGGAGAAUCACAUCAAUAUUUGUCUAGAAUUUAUUCAAACCUAGAAAGAUAUAUAGAUAGCAUAGGACUACACACUAGCAUAUAUGGACAUGAUGAUUGCAUGUUCUUCUUAAACUCUAGACUCCAUAAAUUCUUUGUCAUGGCACACCCUUCCCAUACCUUUGCUUGAUUCUUGCAUUUUUCACUUUUGGCCACCAAAAGCAGAAGUCAUAAAUACCUUCAUCGAUUUUGAGCAAGCAAGCACCCUUAGGUUUAUGACAUCCAUACAAAUCCCCAUAUUCUUCGUAACUAUCAAAUGACAUAAGUUUAUCUUGUCAUUGAAUUUUACAAAAGAAAAGUGUAUUCAUAACAAAAAAAAUUGGGAUAGAAAGACCAUUGAAAGGAGUUGUUAUAAGAGAGUACAUGUAUGCCGAGAUCAUCAUCCUUAGAAUAUUUGUAAGCCGUACAUGCACUUCCCCAAAGGAAAAAUAAUACUUCCUUUGGAUAGAGUAAUAUGUAAAGCAAACAAUAACACUAGAUUUUUGAACAAAGAACUCAUCUUUGCAAAUAUGCUUUUAGUGUCCAAAGAUGGAAUCUAGGCUCUUCUUUUAUAGAGUAGUAAAUAAUUGAAGAAAAAUGAAUAAUGCUUAUGAAAAGCGGAGCCAUAUUUACUAUCACAUUAAAUAUUUCAAUUAUCUUUAGCUAUAUCACAUUAUAAUUCCAUAUAUUUUUUUCUAUAAUAUAAAAUUGAUGACAUAAAUAUUAAUUGCUUGCCUUGAACUUUUUCAUUUAUAUUACUCAAUGAUGAAAUGCAAAUAAUUAAUGUGCUUGGAUUUUCAUUUACUACAAUUUUGCAUUUACCUUUUUUUUUGUUAAUCUUUUAAGGAAAAAAUGUGUUUUCACAGGUCAUGUAAAAAUAAUUACAAAAUAAGAAUCCUCUAAAAAUAAUUUAAGUUGCAUUUACUCAUGGUCAAAUGUGAUACCUAGGAUGGUACAAGUUAGUACUUAUAUUAUUAAGUGGUAGUAACUAAAUGAUCGAAGGUGGUACCUUUGACCAAAAAGUACAUAAAAUGCUAAUUAUUUUUAGAUAGCUGCUUAAAAUUUGUAUUUUAUAAUCUUGGAUUCCUAUUUGGUGAUUUUUUUUUUCAUAUGAAUGUAGGGAAACACACUUUUCCCAUAUUUUAAAAUUAUAAUCUUCUCUUCAAAUUUAUUUCUUUUCUAAUUCAACUAGCAAUUAUAAUCAUUAUGAACCCUUCUAAAAUUGUUUUUUUUUUCCUUUUAAUUAAAGAAAGUCAAUGAUGAGAUGAAAACAAUUAGUCCUCUUGGAUUUUCCUUUCAUGCAAUUUUGCAUUUACUUUCUUGCUAAUUUUAUAAAAUUGUCAUAUUCUACUUCAAAUUAAUUUAUUUUCCAAUUCAACUAGCCAUCUUAUUAAUAAUUAUUAUUUUUUAUAACCAUUAUGAACUUUCUAAUCUAUAUAUAUUUAUAUAUAUUUAAGGAAGUCAAUGAUGAAGUGAAAAUAAUUAAGGGUGUAUUUGGUAAUUGUUUUCGAAAACAGUUCUAAAGAAUAGUUUUUUACAACAGUUUUUGAAAAUUAUUAUCUAAUUUUUGUAGAACAAAAGUUUGUUUCAAAACCUAAAAUAUUUUUAACUUGUUUUUAAUAUUUUUCAAUAUGUUUUGAAAAUAAUUUUUAUAUGUAGUCUUUUAUUUUUUAAUCAUUCUAAUUUGUAUGAUUAUUUCUUAAAAUUGGAAAAAAAGUGAACAUAAUAGAAAACAACUAAAAGAUGUUAUUUGAAAAAACUUUGUUUUCUGUUUUUAAGAAUAAAAAAUAAUUUUUUUUGGUUGCUAUACAUGUUUUUUGUUAUGGAGAACACAAUUGUUUUUUUGUCACUAUCUUGAAAUUUUGUCUUAUUUGUUAUUUAAAAAUUUCAUAUAAUAAAAACAUUAUAAUUUUUUUUUUUGAAUUAUGCAAUUCAAUCAACCUGACCGACUUGAAUCUAACCUAACCAACCCAAACCGAACUUGAGCUUAGAACAAUGAGGUUGGGUUGGGCUUGGGUUGAGUAUAUCAAUCGAGUUGGAGGUUGGGUUGGAAUAGGCUUGUGUUAGCCAUCCCACCUAAGUUAUAGUUCUAAUAAAAAUAUGAUCAUGAAAUUAAUCUAAAUAGUCUACAAAGAUGAUACACAUUAUUAAUAAGUUUACUACAAAUUCAUUUUAUUUCCUUAGUUAUAUGAUAUUAUAAAUGUAUCCAUGACGAUAGAAAUAAAUUUUCACCAAACAUAUUAAGUUGAAAAAGUCAAUUUAUCUAAUUAUUUUGAAAUAAUAUCAAAUUUGAAAAAUUAAAUCAUCUGAUAAAGAAAAAGGUCAUAUGUUUUUUUCAUUUAAGCAACACACCAUAUGUAUAUUGUUCUAUUGUGAUGCUUAAAGUGUACCUUAUUGGUAUGCUAUUUAUUUUAGUUUUUUGACUCGGUCUCUAAACCAUGAAGAGUCUUUUCUUGACAAGAAUCAUGUUAAGAGUGUGUUUCAAUAAACUAGGAGAGAUUUUACUUUUAAAAGUAUUUUUUUUUCAUGAUGAAAUUAAGUAGAAAUUAAAAUUUGAUGAUUUCCCUUUUAAUCGAUCAAGCUGAGUUCAUGGAUCAAUUAAGAUAUAUUUUUAAGAUUUGAUCUUUCAAAAACAUGCUUCAAAGAGUAAACUAAAUUUUAGAGGAAAAACUAUAUUAAGGUUUUAUCAAAUUGAAAACAUGGUUUUAAGUGAUCAAUAUUGCUAAGGUGAUUUUGUAGAUAAAAUGAUAAGCUUUUAAACUAUAUUUCUUCAAUUUUUUUAGGCACUCUUCAAAUAUUUAAGUCAAAGGAUUAAUGUUAAUUGAUAAAUGAAAUUAGAAUAGUUUUUUAUAAAGAAAUUACUAACACAUCUUGUAGAAAAUUUAAAGAGAGAAUUAUUUUGAUUUUGACUCCCUCAAAUUUUAAAUAGGAUAAAAAAGGUGAAAUAUGAUAAAUUUUAUUUUUCAUUUGUUAUUGAAUUCCUUUAUUGUAAGGUUAAGGACAUAUAUGCUUAUAAAAAGAAAAAAUGGACUUGGGUUAUGGAGAACAAUUACAAACAAAAAGGAAAGUGUGGUCUUUUAUUAAUAGAAUGGAGUGACACACUAAGAUAGAAAUGAUGAUGGAAUUUUCCUUUAGAAAUCAAGCCUCCAUAAGUUCUUCAUCAUGGAAUAUCCUUGCCAUGUCCUUGCUCAAUUCCUACAAUUGUUUUCUUUGGCCAAUAAUAGCAAAAGUCAUAACCACCGUCAUGUUUAAGCAUGCACGGACCAUUGGGGGUUAUAUCCCAAUAGCAGAAUUUACCACAAUCUUCAAUAUCCCUAGCUUCUCUAUAACUAUCGAAUGACAUCACCUUUUCUUGCCAUUGUAUUUUACAAAAGAAAAGUGUAGUCAAUACGAAAAAGUUGGGUUUGAAAGACCACUCGAAGGAGUCCUUAAAGGGGAGUACAUGUACGCCGAGAUCAUCAUCUUUGGAUUGACAAUGUAUGGUAACGCUUGAUCCUGGGCCUAGAAGAUUUGUAAGCCGCACAUGUGCUUUUCCAUAAGGAAAUAAUUUUCCUUGGGACAAAGUAACCUGCAAAAGAAUCAACAAUACAAGUUUCUUAAGCAAACAACUCAUAUUUGAUUUUGUUUUGGUGCACAAGAAGAUGGAGGAUCCUCAUUUUAUAAGCUAAAAAAGGUGUUAUAUAUCAGGAAAAAAAAUGAAUCAUGCUCAUAAAAGGUAGAACCAUGUCAUGAUGCUAAAAAUAAUCAUGCAUUUAUUUUCUUACUGAUUUUUCAAAAUUUGUUUACCAUAAUUUCCAUUUACCUUCUUCUGCAAUUUGUUUACCAUAAUUUAUACUUACCUUUUUGUCCAAUUAAAUUAUUUAUUUUGUUGAAAUUUACUUCUUUUCAAAGAUAAGAUCACCUUUGCCUCCCAUAAUUUUAGGUUUUUAGUAAAAAAUUUCUUGUUAUUUGGAACUCUAACACUAGCACUUGUCAUUCUAUUGAGAAUUAACACUUUUUUUUUGAAGAUUUUAGUAUCACUUAUGUUCUAUUCACACUCCCUUUAAGGGUUUUUUGGUUCGAUUUUGUUAAAAUAGGCUUUUUAUUUGUAUCACUUUUGUCAGUAAUGCUUUUAUCAUAAACACUUGUAUAAAACAUCCUUAAUGUUUAAAUACAAAUCAUAAAAAGGUAAUUUGAUAAUAUUUUUGAAUAUGUGUUAGAAUCAAAAGGUGGUUUUUAGAAGAACCAUCCACCAAAUGCUAGUAAAAGAAUCGAUAAGAAUCAUGCAUUUACUUUCUUGUUGAUUUUUCAAGAAUCAUACAUAGGUUUAGAUAUGUAUGUUCUAUAUUGAAAUUAUGACGUCCGGAUAAAAAAUAUAAAAAAGAGGUAAGAUAAUAUAUCCCAUCACUUAUUUUAUAAGUGUUGAGAUAAUUUAUCCUAUCUCAUUGUCAAGCAAACGUGUGAUACCAUAUAUUAUCCAAUUUCUUAUUUUAUCUCACAUUAUAUUUAGCCAAUCAAACAUGGCUUUAGUGCAUUUUAGAAUUUUUAUGCUAAGAUCAUUUCAUAAAGUAAUUUAGAUAAUUAGGUUUUUUAUUUUUCCAAAACUUUAGGUUCUGUUUGGAAAUGUUUUUGAAAAUACUUCUUAAAAAAUAGUUUUUGAUAACUGUUUCAAUUAUUAUUUAAAUUUUUCUUAAAAAUAACUGCCAUCUAUAAUGCUUUAUUUUCAUAUGCCAGUCUCCAUGUUUGUAUUGUUAUUUUUUAGCAUAGUCAUUAGAAAACAAGCAAAAAUAAUUAAAAUAUGUUUUUUAGAGAAUAAAUUUUUAGAAAGUUGUUUUUUAUAAAAAAAUUGCAAAAAUAUUUCAAGUUUUAAAAAAAAUAUAUUUUUUUUAAGAACAAAAAGGUAUUUUCAAAAACAGUUUUUAAACAUACUGUUAACAUCUACAAAUUCUUUGAAGUAUUCAACAUUGCUAUUGGCAAGGUUGAAAAUAGAAUGAUAUUGUUUGCAAUUACACCUCUUCAAAAUUUUUAAAAACUCUUCAAUAUUCAAGUCAAAGGAUUGAGCAAUUGGAGCAUUUACUAGAGAAUCAAAUGACAACAUAUUUUUGGAAAGCACCAACUAAAACAUUAUUACUAAAGCACAACCUCCAAAAGGGGAAUUAAUUUAUUUUAUUUUGAUUUCUUAUGUUUGGUUCCCAGAAAGUGUCAAGGAAAGAAAAAAAUGUUAAGGAAAAUGAUUUUUUCAUGUUUAGUUUCAUUAUGGAAAAUGUGAAAGAAAAUUUAAUAUAAUUAUUUAAUCUUUAUAUAAUAGAGAAAAAUAAGUAAAAUUAAUUUGAAGAAGUAAAUAAAACUAUUUUAUUGACUUUGAAUCUAUUUUAUUUUCUUUCAUUUCUUUCUUUCUUUUUAGUUUUCCUAUUUUUUUAUUUCCCUCACAUUUUCCCUCAAAUUUUAUGGGAACCAAACAUAGCUUAAGUUUUGUUUUGGUUUCAUUAUUUUUUAUCAAGUCAAUGGUAUGCAUGCUUAGAAAAAGAAAGAUGAACUAGGGUUUAGGAGAGAAGUCAACACAUAAAGGAAAGUGUUGUCCUUUAUUAAAUGUUGUCCUUUAUUUCAAAUUAUAGGAAAUGAGGAGAAUCACAACAAUAUUUCUCUAGAAUUUAUUCAAACCUAGAAAAAUAUAUAGAUAGCAUAGGACUACACACUAGCAUAUAUGGACAUGAUGAUUGCAUGUUCUUCUUGAACUCUAGACUCCAUAAAUUCUUUGUCAUGGCACACCCUUCCCAUACCUUUGCUCGAUUCUUGCAUUUUUCGCUUUUGGCCACCAAAAGCAGAAGUCAUAAAUACCUUCAUCGAUUUUGAGCAAGCAAGCACCCUUAGGGGUUAAUUUCCCAAUAACAACGUUUAUGACAUCCAUACAAGUCCCCAUAUUCUUCGUAACUAUCAAAUGACAUAAGUUUAUCUUGCCAUUGAAUUUUACAAAAGAAAAGUGUAUUCAUAACAAAAAAAUUGGGAUAGAAAAUUGCCAUUGAACUUGAGACAUGGUUGAAUAUUGUUUUGUCCAUCCCGCCCGGCCUACCCCGAUUAUAUAUAAAAUUAAUUUAAUUUGAUUUUUAUUUUAUUUUUUUAAUAAAUAAAUGAUAAAUACUCAUCAAUAAAAUAAAUUACAAAAAAUUUAAUAAUAAUAAUAAUAAUAAUAAUAAUAAUAAUAAUAAUAAUAAUAAUAAUAAUAAUAAUAAUAAUAAUAAUAAUAAUAAAAUAACAAUAAUAAUAAAUACUCAACAAUAAAAGAAGUUACAAAAAAUAUAAUAUUUUAAUUAUUUAUAAAAUAUAUUUAUUUUAAUAUAAUUAAAAAAUUUUAAAAUAAUUUUUUAAAAAAAUUUAAAAUUUUCAAAAAAAGAAGAAGUUAAAUGGGAUGGUAUGGGAAUUUCUCAUACCCGUCCCACCCCGUUUUGUUUAAUUUUUUUAAUGUGAUAAGGAUGAAAAUUAUUUUGAAUAAACGGAUGAGGUUGAGAUGAUGACAUAAUAAUAAUAAUAAUAAUAAUAAUAAUAAUAAUAAUAAUAAUAAAAUAUUUUAAUUAUUUAUAAAAUGUAUUUAUUUUAAUGUAAUUAAAAAAUUUUAAAAUAAGUUUUUAAAAAUAAUAUAAUUUUUUUUAAAAAAAAGUUAAAUGGGACGGUAUGAGAAUUUCUCAUACCCGUCCCACCCCAUUUCGUUUAAUUUUUUUUAAUGUGACAAGGAUGAAAACGGAUGAGGUUGAGAUGAGGACAUAAUAAUAAUAAUAAUAAUAAUAAUAAUAAUAAUAAUAAUAAUAAUAAUAAUAAUAAUAAUAAUAAUAAUAAUAAUAAUAAUAAUAAUAAUAAUAAUAAUAUAAUAAUAAUAAUAAUAAUAAUAAUAAUAAUAAAUAGGUUACAAAAUUAAAAUAUUUUAAUUAUUUAUAAAAUAUAUUUAUUUUAAUGUAAUUAAAAACUUUAAAUUUUUUUUUUUAAAAUAACAAUAAUAAUAAAUACUCAUCAAUAAAAUAAGUUACAAAAAUUACAAUAUUUUAAAUAUUUAUAAAAUAUAUUUAUUUUAAUGUAAUUAAAAAUUUUAAAAUAAUUUUUAAAAAUAACAAUAAUAAUAAAUACUCAUCAAUAAAAUAAGUUACAAAAAUUACAAUAUUUAUUUUAAUGUAAUUAAAAAAUUUUAAAAUACUUUUUAAAAAUAACAAUAAUAAUAAAUACUCAUCAAUAAAAUAAGUUACGAAAAUUAAAAUAUUUUAAAUAUUUAUAAAAUAUAUUUAUUUUAAUGUAAUUAAAAAAUUUAAAAUAAUUUUGAAAAAACAAUUUAAAUUUUUUUUAAAAAAUAAGUUAAAUGGGGCAUAUGGGAAUUUUUCAUACCCACCUCACUCCGUUUUGUUUAAUUUUUUUAAUGUGAUAAGGAUGAGAAUUAUUUUGAAUAAAUGGACGAGGUUGAGAUGAGAACAACUCGUCCUGAACCCGGCCUAUUAUCAUCUCUAAUUAGAGUACAUAUCAUGCAACAAUUGUUUUUAGUAGAUAUGGAAGGUGAGGAAGAUGAUUACAUUUUUUCCUUUCCACAUCAAAUUUUGAAUUUUCAAAAAAAUUUGAAAAUGGGUUUAGGUGGAUAUAUAAUUUUUGAAGAGGACGACAUAUCUUAAUUAUAAAAAUACAAACUUAAAUACUCUAAAUAAGAAAACAUUACCUUGAAAUAAUUUUUAAGAGGUGUAUGAUAAAGAAGAUAAAAGGCUUAAACCUACUAAUUAAUUUAUUAUGUCUAAUAACAUUAUGUUAUGUUUGGUUGACUGAAUAAAGUAAGAUAUGGUAUAUAUUUUAAGAUGUUAUAUCUAUAGGAUAUGUGUAUUAUAGAUAUCAUAUUCAGUAGGAUGCGAUACCUUUAGAUAUUAUAUUAGAUGAAAUAAUAUUUCAAUAUAUUAUAUCCAAUUGGAUAUGUUAUCUCAUGCUUAUAUUUAGUUUGUAAAAAAAUUAAAAAUUAAAAAUAUUUAUGAUUAUAGUAUUUAAAAUUUAUAAAUAAAAAUAUUAUAUUAUGUUGUUAAAUAUAUAAAACAAUUUAUCUAUAUUAAAUAAUACAUAUAUUAGUCCUAUUUUAAAUAUAUAUAAAAGUUUUUUUCAACUAUAUAUUUAAUUUUUUAAUCAAAAUUAUUUAUGCUACAAAAUAAGUAAUAUAUAAAAUUUUAAAAAAAUGAAGAAGUUGACAAGAUAUGUAUGUCCUAUAUUGAAAUUAUGACAUUCAGAUAAAAGAUAUAAAAAAGAGGUGAGAUAAUAUAUCCCAUCACUUAUUUUAUAAGUGAUGAGAUAAUUUAUGCUAUCUUAUUGUUAAGCAAACAUAUGAUACAAUACAUUAUCCCAUCUCUUAUUUAUCUCACACUAUAUUUAGUCAAAACAUGGCUUUAGUGCAUUUUAGAAUUCCUAUGCUAAGAUCAUUUCAUAAAGUAAUUUAGAUAACUUUAGGGUUUGUUUGGAAAUGUUUUUGAAAACAAUUCUCAAAAAAUAAUUUUUGAUAAUAGUUUCAAUUAUUCUCUAAAUGUUUGUUAAAAAAUAUAUGCCAUCUAUAAUGCUUUAUUUUCAUAUGCCAGUCUCCAUGUUUGUAUUGUUAUUUUUUAGCAUAGUUCUUAGAAAGCAAAUGAAAAUAAUUAAAAUAUGUUCUUCAAAGAAUAAUUUUCAAAAAGUUGUUUUCUAUCAAAAAAUUACCAAACUAUUUCAAGUUUUAAAAAAGAAAUAUUGUUUUUUUAAGAAUAGAAAACCAUUUUCAAAAACAGUAUUCAAACAUGCUCUUAACAUUUACAAAUUCUUUUAAGUAUUCAACAAUGCACCUCUUCAAAAUUUUUAAAGCCUCUUCAAUAUUCAAGUCAAAGGAUUGAGAAAUUGGAGCAUUUACUAGAGAAUCAAAUGACAACAUUUUUUUGGAAAGAAGCUACUAAAACAUUAUUACUAAAGCACAAUCUCCAAAAGGGGAACUAAUUUAUUUCAUUUUGAUUUUUUAAGGCUAUGUUUGGUUCCCGGAAAGUGUUAAGGAAAGAAAAAAGUGUUAAGGAAAAUGGUUUUUUCAUGUUUGGUUUCAUUAUGGAAAAUAUGAAAGAAAAUUAAAUAUAAUUAUUUAUUCUUUAUAUAAUCGAGAAAAAUAAGAAAAAUUAAAUUGAAGAAGUAAAUAAAAAUAUUUUAUUGACUUUGAAUCUAUUUUUUUUCUCAUUUUUUUCUUUCUUUUUUGUUUUCCUUUUUUUUUUUCUUUUGCUCAAAUUUUCCCUCAAAUUUUAUGGGAACUAAACAUAGCCUAAGUUUUGUUUUUGUAUCAUUAGUUUUUAUCAAGUGAAUGGUAUGCAUGCUUAGAAAAAGAAAAGAUGAACUAAGGUUUAGGAGAGAAGUCAACACAAAAAGGAAAGUGUUGUCCUUUAUUAAAUGUCGUCCUUUAUUUCAAAUUAUAGGAAAUGAGGAAAAUCACAUCAAUAUUUCUCUAGAAUUUAUUCAAACCUAGAAAAAUAUAUAGAUAGCAUAGGACUACACACUAGCAUAUAUGGACAUGAUGAUUGUAUGUUCUUCUUGAACUCUAGACUCCAUAAAUUCUUUGUCAUGGCACAUCCUUCCCAUACCUUUGCUCAAUUCCUGCAUUUUUCUCUUUUGGCCACCAAAAGCAGUAGUCAUAAAUACCUUUAUCGAUUUUGAGCAAGCAAGCACCCUUAGGGGUUAUUUCCCAAUAACAACAUUUAUGACAUCCAUACAAAUCCCUAUAUUCUUUGUAACUAUGAAAUGACAUAAGUUUAUCUUGCCAUUGAAUUUUACAAAAGAAAAGUGUAUUCAUAACAAAAAAAUUGGGAUAGAAAGACCACUCAAAGGAGUUGUUAUAAGAGAGUACAUGUAUGCCGAGAUCAUCGUCCUUAGAUUGCCAAUGUAUGGUGAGGCUCGAGCCCAAACCUUGGAUAUUUGUAAUUGUUUUCGAAAACAAUUCUAAAGAAUAGGUUUUUUUACAACAGUUUUUGAAAAUUAUUCUCUAAUUUUUGUAGAACAAAAGUCUGUUUUAUAACCUAAAAUAUUUUUAACUUGUUUUUAAUAUUUUUCAAUAUGUUUUGAAAAUAAUUUUUAUAUGUAGUCUUUUAUUUUUUAAUCAAUCUAUAUGUUUGUAUAAUUAUUUCUGAAAACACUAAUUAGAAAAAAAAAGUGAACACAAUAGAAAACAACUAAAAGAUGUUAUUUGAAAACACUCUGUUUUCUGUUUUUAAGAAUAAAAAAUAAUUUUUUUUUGGUUGCUAAACAUGUUUUUUAUGUUUUUUUGUUCUAGAGAACACAAUUGUUUUUUUGUCACUAUGUUGAAAUGUUGUCUUAUUUGUUAUUUAAAAAUUUCAUAUAAUAAAAACAUUAUAAUUUUUUUUUGAAUUAUGCAAUUUAAUCAACCUGAUCGACCUGAAUCUAACCUAACCAACCCAAACCGAACUUGAGCUUAGAACAAUGAGGUUGGGUUGGGCUUGGGUUGAGUAUAUCAAUCGAGUUGGAGGUUGGGUUGGAUUAGGCUUGUGUUAGCCAUCCCACCUAAGUUAUAGUUCUAAUAAAAAUAUGAUCAUCAAAUUAAUCUAAAUAGUUUACAAAGAUGAUACAAAUUAUUAAUAAAUUUACUACAAAUUCAUUUUUAUUUCCUUUGUUAUAUGAUAUUAUAAAUGUAUCCAUGACAAUAGAAAUAAAUUUUCACCAAACAUAUUAAGUUGAAAAAGUCAAUUUAUCUAAUUAUUUUGAAAUAAUAUCAAAUUUGAAAAAUUAAAUCAUUUGAUAAAGAAAAAGGUCAUAUGUUUUUUUCAUUUAAGCAACACACCAUAUGUAUAUUGUUCUAUUGUGAUGCUUAAAGUGUACCUUAUUGGUAUGUUAUUUAUUUUAGUUUUUUGACUCAGUCUCUAAACCACGAAGAGUUUUUCCUCGACAAGAAGUAUGUUAAGAGUGUGUUUCAAUAAAUUAGGAGAGAUUUUACUUUUAAAAGUUUUUUUUUCAUGAUGAAAUUAAGUAGAAAUUAAACUUUGAUGAUUUCCCUUUUAAUCGAUCAAGCUGAGUUCAUGGAUCAAUUAAGAUAUAUUUUUAAGAUUUGAUCUUUCAAAAACAUGCUUCAAAGAGCAAACUAAAUUUUAGAGGAAAAACUAUAUUAAGGUUUUAUCAAAUUGAAAACAUGGUUUUAAGUGAUCAAUAUUGCUAAGGUGAUUUUGUAGACAAAAUGAUUUCCUUUUCAACUAUAUUUCUUCAAAAUUUUUAGGCACUCUUCAAAUAUUUAAGUCAAAGGAUUGAACAUUUGAAAUGUUAAUUAAGAAAUCAAAUUAGAAUAGUUUUUUAUAAAGUAAUUACUAACACAUCUUGUAGAAAAUUUAAAAAGAUAAUUAUUUUGAUUUUGACUCCCUCAAAUUUUAAAUAGGAUAAAAAAGGUGAAAUAUGAUAAAUUUUAUUUUUCAUUUGUUAUUGAAUUCCUUUAUUAUAAGGUCAAGGACACAUAUGCUUAUGAAAAGAACAAAUGGACUUGGGUUAAGGAGAACAACUACAAACAAAAAGGAAAGCGUGGACUUUUAUUAAUAGAAUGGAGUGACACACCAAGAUAGAACUGAUGAUAGAAUUUUCCUUUAGAAAUCAAGCCUCCAUAAGUUCUUCAUCAUGGAAUAUCCUUGCCAUGGCCUUGCUCAAUUCCUACAAUUGUUUUCUUUGGCCAAUAAUAGCAAAAGUCAUAACCACCGUCAUGUUUAAGCAUGCACGGACCAUUGGGGGUUAUAUCCCAAUAGCAGAAUUUACCACAAUCUUCAAUAUCCCUAGCUUCUCUAUAACUAUCGAAUGACAUCACCUUAUCUUGCCAUUGUAUUUUACAAAAGAAAAGUGUAGUCAAUACCAAAAAGUUGGGUUUGAAGGACCACUCAAAGGAGUCCUUGAAGGGGAGUACAUGUACGCCGAGAUCAUCAUCUUUGGAUUGACAAUGUAUGGUAACACUUGAUCCUGGACCUAGAAGAUUUGUAAGCCGCACAUGUGCUUUUCCAUAAGGAAAUAAUUUUCCUUGGGACAAAGUAACCUGCAAAAGAAUCAACAAUACAAGUUUCUUAAGCAAAAAACUCAUAUUUGAUUUUGUUUUGGUGCACGAGGAGAUGGAGGAUCCUCUUUUUAUAAGCUAAAAGGGGUGUUAUAUAUUAGGAAAAAAAAUGAAUCAUGCUCAUAAAAGGUAGAACCAUGUCAUGAUGCUAAAAAGAAUCAUGCAUUUACUUUCUUACGGAUUUUUCAAAAUUUGUUUAUUAUAAUUUCUAUUUACCUUCUUCUCCAAUUUGUUUACCAUAAUUUCUAUUUACUUUUUUCUCCAAUUUGUUUACCAUAAUUUCUAUUUACCUUUUUCUCCAAUUUGUUUACCAUAAUUUCUAUUUACCUUUUUCUCCAAUUAAACUAUUUAUUUUGUUGAAAUUUACUUCUUUUCAAAGAUAACAUCACCUUCGCCCCCAUAAUUAUAGGUUUUUAGUAAAAAAUUUCUUGUUAUUUGGAACUAUAAGACUAGCACUUGUCAUUCUAUUGAGAAUUAGCACUUUUUUUUGAAGAUUUUAGUAUCACUUAUCCCUUUAAGGGUUUUUUGGGGUGAUUUUGUUAAAAUAGGCUUUUUAUUUGUAGCGCGUUCGUUAGUAAUGCUUUUAUCAUUAACACUUGUAUAAAACAUCCUUAAUGUUUAAAUACAAAUCAUAAAAAGGUAAUUUGAUAAUAUUUUUUAAUAUGUGUUAAAAUCAAAAGAUGGUUUUUAGAAGAACCAUCCACCAAAUGCUAGUAAAAGAAUCGAUAAGAAUCAUGCAUUUACUUUCUUGUUGAUUUUUCAAAAUUUGUUUGCCAUAAUUUCUAUUUACCUUUUCCUCCAAUUUGUUUACCAUAAUUUCUAUUCUAUUUACCUUUUCCUCCAAUUUGUUUACCAUAAUUUCUAUUUACCUUUUUCUCCAAUUAAACUAUUUAUUUUGUUGAAAUUUACUUCUUUUCAAAGAUAACAUCACCUUCGCCCCCAUAAUUAUAGGUUUUUAGUAAAAAUUUUCUUGUUAUUUGGAACUAUAAGACUAGCACUUGUCAUUUUAUUGAGAAUUAGCACUUUUUUUUUUGAAGAUUUUAGUAUCACUUAUCCCUUUAAGGGUUUUUUGGGGUGAUUUUGUUAAAAUAGGCUUUUUAUUUGUAGCGCUUUCGUCAGUAAUGCUUUUAUCAUAAAUACUUGUAUAAAACAUCCUUAAUGUUUAAAUACAAAUCGUAAAAAGGUAAUUUGAUAAUAUUUUUUAAUGUGUUAAAAUCAAAAGAUGGUUUUUAGAAGAACCAUCCACCAAAUGCUAGUAAAAGAAUCGAUAAGAAUCAUGCAUUUACUUUCUUGUUGAUUUUUCAAAAUUUGUUUACCAUAAUUUCUAUUUACCUUUUCCUCCAAUUUGUUUACCAUAAUUUCUAUUCUAUUUACCUUUUCCUCCAAUUUGUUUGCCAUAAUUUCUAUUUACCUUUUUUUCCAAUUUGUUUACCAUAAUUUCUAUUUACCUUUUUCUCUAAUUAAACUAUUUAUUUUGUUGAAAUUUACUUCUUUUCAAAGAUAAGGUCACCUUCGCCCCCUAUAAUUAUAUGUUUUUAGUAAAAAAAUUAUUGUUAUUUGGAACUAUAAGACUAGCACUUGUCAUUCUAUUGAGAAUUAACACUUUAUUUGAAGAUUUUAGUAUCACUUAUGUUCUAUUCACACUCCCUUUAAGGGUUUUUUGGGGCGAUUAUGUUAAAAUAGGCUUUUUAUUUGUAGCGCUUUUGUCAGUAAUGCUUUUAUCAUAAACACUUGUAUAAAACAUCUUUAAUGUUUAAAUACAAAUCUAAAAAGGUGAUUUGAUAAUAUUUUUGAAUAUGUAUUAAAAUCAAAAGGUGGUUUUUAGAAGAACCAUCCACCAAAUGCUAGUAAAAGAAUCGAUAAGAUGAUUCUUCAUAAUUUUAAGCGCUAAACCUACUAAUUAAGUUAUUACGUCUAAUAACAUUAGAUUAUGUUUGGUUGGCUGAAUAGAGUAAGAUAUGAUACAUAUAUUUUAAGAUGUUAUAUUUAUAGGAUAUGUGUAUUAUAAAUAUCAUAUUUAGUAGGAGACGAUACAUUUAGAUAUUAUAUUAGAUGAAAUAAUAUUUCAAUAUAUUUAUAUAUCCAAUUGGAUGUCUUAUGUCAUGCUUAUGUUUAGUUUGUAAAAAGAUUAAAAAUAAAAAAUAUUUAUGAUUCUAGUAUUUAAAAUUUAUAAAUAAAAAUAUUAUAUUAUGUUGUUAAACAUAGAAAAUAAUUGAUCUAUAUUAAAUAAUACGUAUAUUAGUCCUAUUUUAAAUAUAUAUAAGUCUUUUUAACCAUAAAUUUAAUUUUUAAUCAAAAUUAUUUGUGCUACAAAAUAAGUAAUAUAUAAAAUUUUUAAGAAAAUGAAGAACUUGACAAGAUAUGUAUGUCCUAUAUUGAAAUUAUGACAUUUAGAUAAAAAAUAUAAAAAAGAGGUGAGAUAAUAUAUCCCAUCACUUAUUUUAUAAGUGAUGAGAUAAUUUAUGCUAUCUUAUUGUUAAGCAAACAUAUGAUACAAUACAUUAUCCCAUCUCUUAUUUAUCUCACACUAUAUUUAGUCAAAACAUGGCUUUAGUGCAUUUUGGAAUUCUUAUGCUAAGAUCAUUUCAUAAAGUAAUUUAGAUAAUUAGGUUUUUUAUUCUUCCAAAACUUUAGGUUAUGUUUGGAAAUGGUUUUGAAAAUACUUCUUAAAAAAUAGUUUUUGAUAACUGUUUCAAUUAUUAUUUAAAUAUUUCUUAAAAAUAACUGCCAUCUAUAAUGCUUUAUUUUCAUGUCAGUUUCCAUGUUUGUAUUUUUAUUUUUUAGCAUAGUCCUUAGAAAGCAAGAAAAAAUAUUUAAAAUAUGUUCUUCAAAGAAUAAAUUUUCAAAAAGUUGUUUUCUAUCAAAAAAUUGCCAAACUAUUUCAAGUUUUAAAAAAAAUAUUUUGUUUUUUAAGAACAAAAAGGUAUUUUCAAAAACAGUUUUUAAACAUACUGUUAACAUUUACAAAUUCUUUGAAGUAUUCAACAUUGCUAUUGGCAAGGUUGAAAAUAGAAUGAUAUGGUUUGCAAUUACACUUCUUCAAAAUUUUUAAAAACUCUUCAAUAUUCAAGUCAAAGGAUUUAGUAAUUGGAUAAUUUACUAGAGAAUCAAAUGACAACAUAUUUUUGGAAAGAAGCUACUAAAACAUUAUUAUUGAAGCACAACCUCCAAAAGGGGAAUUCAUUUAUGUCAUUUUGAUUUCUUAAGGCUAUCUUUGGUUCCCGGAAAGUGUUAAGGAAAGAAAAAAAUGUUAAGGAAAAUGGAUUUUUCAUGUUUAGUUUCAUUGUGGAAAAUGUGAAAGAAAAUUUAAAAUAAUUAUGUAAUCUUUAUAUAAUCGAGAAAAAUAAGUAAAAUUAAUUUGAAGAAGUAAAUAAAACUAUUUUAUUGGCUUUGAAUCUAUUUUCUUUUCUUUCAUUUUUUUUCUUUCUUUUUAGUUUUCCUCUUUUUUUAUUUCCCUCACAUUUUUCCUCAAAUUUUAUGGGAACCAAACAUAGCUUAAGUUUUGUUUUGGUUUCUUUAGUUUUUAUCAAGUCAAUGGUAUGCAUGCUUAGAAAAAGAAAAGAUGAACUAGGGUUUAGGAGAGAAGUCAACACAUAAAGGAAAGUGUUGUCCUUUAUUAAAUGUCGUCCCUUAUUUCAAAUUAUAGGAAAUGAGGAGAAUCACAUCACUAUUUCUAUAGAAUUUAUUCAAACUUAAAAAAAUAUAUAGAUAGCAUAGGACUACAUACUAGCAUAUAUGAACAUCAUGAUUGUAUGUUCUUCUUGAACUCUAGACUCCAUUAAUUCUUUGUCAUGGCACACCCUUCCCAUACCUUUGCGCGAUUCCUGCAUUUUUUGCUUUUGGCCACUAAAAGCAGAAGUCAUAAAUACCUUCAUCGAUUUUGAGCAAGCAAGCACCCUUAGGGGUUAAUUUCCCAAUAACAACGUUUAUGACAUUCAUACAAAUCCCUAUAUUCUUCGUAACUAUCAAAUGACAUAAGUUUAUCUUGCCAUUGAAUUUUACAUAAGAAAAGUGUAUUCAUAACAAAAAAAAUUGGGAUAGAAAGACCACUCAAAGGGGUUGUUAUAAGAGAGUACAUGUAUCACAUGAAUGAUCAUACAACAUAGGAUUCCUUCUAUAGGGAAUGCCAUUGUUUAUCCCAUAUUGGGUGAUGGGCCCUUCACCAAAUCAACAAUUUAUAUGUGAUAAUUGACAGGAAGUUUAGUGAAAAAGAGAUCGCCUUAUUGAACUAAUUUUCUACUUUUUUUUUAAACUUCCUCCGAUGCACAUGCAUUUUUUUUUUCCUAAUAUUUUUUACUCUUUUGAGCCACAUAUAACAAUAUAUUUAUUUUUUUAAAAUUUCAUUAUUUAGAUCUAUUCAUCUAAGAAAUUUUGAAUUUCCCUAUUUUCAUCAAUAGAACAACCUAGAUUCCUAAUUUUAAUAUUUUGGCCUACGUUUUAAAUAAAUUAACCCUAGCCUAAAUCUAAAUCUUCCAAAGAAUCUUUUUUUUUUUUCAUCAAAAAACUUAAGAUUUCCCAAUUUCCAACAAUAAAUCAAAAUCUUAAAUUUUCAAUAUUUUGAUAUUAAAAUGAAUUAAAAAAAAUAAACUAACCUUAAUCUAAAUUAAAUUUUUUUCAAGAAUAACUAGCUUGUUCAGAACUAACUAACGAAUAUAAUAUAUUAAUUUAGGGUUAGAAUCUUACUUGGAAAAAUAUGAACUUCAACUCUGAACCUCUAACCAUUGAGCCCUACGAUUUCUAAUUCUCUAAUUUGGUUGAUAGGGUUUUCUUAAUAAAGAAGAUAAGAGGAAAAUCUAAUUUAUACCUAGGAUUAUUAGUUGUAAAAUGACUCUUUCACCCUUAAUGAAUUUAAUUAAUUACUUAAUUACUUUAUAAAUUACUAUUUUGCCCCUAGAUUAAAUUUUGGGGUGUUACAUCCCCUCCUCCUAAAAAAAAGUUUAGUCCUCUAAACUUGACAUACCUGGGUCUUGAAAAAGAUGUGGGUGCUUUUCUCUCAUCUCCUCUUUUAAUUCCCAAGUGGGUUCUCGAAUACUAUGAUUGCUCCAUUGGAUUUUUGCUAACUUGACAACAACAUGACGUAGUACCUUUUCCAUCUCAUCCACAAUCGUAAUUAUUACUUCUUCAUAAGUCAAGUCUUCAGAAAUUUGAAUAGGCUCCAACUCCACAAAAUGAGAGUGGUCAAAAACAUAUUUCCUCAAAUUUGAAACAUGGAAUACAUUAUGAAUCUUAGACAAGCUUAGGGGCAAGGCCACUUUAUAUGCCAAAGUGCCUACUCUUUCUAAUAUUUUGAAUGGACCCACAAAUCAAGGACUGAACUUUCCCUUUCUCCCAAAUCUCAUCAUAGAUUCCAUAGGCGAUACUUUUAAGAAAACAUGAUCACCUACCUCAAACUCCAAAUCCUGCCUACGAUUGUGAGCAUAACUUUUAUGUCUACUUUGAGUUAUCUUUAACCUCUCUUUAAUUAAGACAACUUUUUCAACUGUCAACUGCACAAGUUCAGGCCCCAAAAGUUUCCUUUCUCCAACAUCAUCCCAACAAAUGGGAGAUCGACAUUUCCUACCAUAUAGCCCCUCAAAAGGUGACAUCCAAAUCCUAGCUUGAAAGCUAUUAUUAUAGGCAAACUCUACUAAAGGUAAGUAAUUAUCCCAAUUACCUUUUAAGUCUAAAGUACAAGCUUUCAACAAAUCUUCCAAAACUUGAAUUACACUUUCUGAUUGACCAUCAGUCUGAGGAUGGAAAGCAGUACUUAGUACCCAAAGCUUUCUAUAGACUAUGCCAAAAUCUAGAAGUAAAAUGAGGAUCUCUAUUAGAUACUAUAGAAAUAGGUACACCAUGCAUUCUCACAAUCUUCCUAACAUACAAAGAAACUAGACGGUCCAUAGAGAAGUUGACUUUCAUAGGCAAAAAGUGAGCAGACUUAGUCAAUCGAUCAACAAUCACCCAAAUAGUAUUAUUGCUCCUUAAGGUCCUUGGUAACCCUAUCACAAAAUCCAUAGUACUAUGUUCCCACUUUCACUCAGGAAUAGAAAGUGGUUGUAAUGACCUUGCUGGUCGUUGAUGCUCAACUUUCACUUCUUGACACACCAAACGCUGAGCCAUAAAUUGUGCAAUAUCUCGCUCCAUACUUGACCACCAAUAAUUCUGUCUCAAAUCUUUGUACAUUUUUGUCCCUCUUGGGUGGAUCGCAAGCCUAGAACAAUGAACUUCUUCCAAAAGCUCUCUUCUUAAGUCUCCAUCAUUUGAGACACAAAGUCUAGUCCUAAACCUCAAAAUCCCAUCAUCUAAUAAAAUAAAGUCAAGCUUACUACCCUUUUUAACCUCUUUAAUAAGUUGCACUAAAUUCAAAUAGUUCUUUUGUAGCACCUUAAUUCUCCCAACUAAGUUUGGUUGCACUUUGAAAUUCACCACAAGUGCUCUUGAGUCCAAAACUCUAAUAUGGACAUGUAAACUCCUCAAAUCCUCUAUUAAUCGCCUCUGACAACCUUUAAUAGCUGCUAGAGAACCAAUUGAUUUCCUGCUUAAGGCAUAAGCUACAACAUUCGCAUUUUCGGGAUGAUACUGAAUAAUACAAUCAUAGUCCUUAAGUAGUUCUAUCCAUAUUCUCUGUCUCAUAUUCAAUUCCUUUUGGGAAAACAAAUACUUCAAGCUCUUAUGAUCAAUGAAUAUUUCACAAGUUUCACCAAAAAGAAAAUGUCUCCAAAUCUUAAGUGCAAAAAUCAUUGCAACUAACUCCAGAUCAUGAGUGGGGUAAUUUCGCUCAAAAGACUUCAACUGUCUAGAAGCAUAAGCCACAACUUUUCCAUGUUGCAUAAGGACACAACCCAAAUCCUGAUGAGAGGCAUCACUAUACACUACAAAUCCUCCUGAACCUGAAGGGAUAGUCAAAAUAGGAGUUGUCACUAAUCUAUUCUUUAACUCUUGAAAGCUAUGUUCGCAGUCAUCAAACCACUCAAACUUAACCCUUUUUGGUGUCAACUUAGUCAAAGGUAGGGCGAUCUUAGAGAACCCCUCAAUAAAUCAUCUAUGGUAACCAACAAGUCCUAAGAAACUUCAUAUUUCAGUCACAAUACUAGGUUUCCUCCAAUUUUCUACAACAUCUACCUUUCCAGGGUCAACUGAGAUGCCAUUCUUAGUUAUCACAUGCCUAAGGAAAGAGACUUUAUCUAACCAAAACUCACACUUCUUCAAUUUAGUAAACAACUGCUUAUCUCUUAGAGUCUGCAAUACAAUACUCAAAUGGCGCUCAUGCUCUUCUCCACUCCUUGAGUACACCAAAAUAUCAUCUAUAAAAACCACCACAAAUUGAUAUAGAUAGGGUUUAAAUACCCUAUUCAUUAAAUCCGUAAAAGCAGUAGGUGCAUUAGUCAAACCAAAAGGCAUAACCAAAAACUCAUAGUGUCCAUACCUAGUUUGAAAAGCAGUUUUGGGUACAUCCUCACCUCUUACCAUCAACUGAUGAUAUCUAGACUGAAGAUCAAUCUUAGAGAAUACACAAGCACCCUGAAGCUGAUAAAAAAAAAUUGUCAAUUUGAGGAAGAGGAUACUUAUUCCUCACAAUCACUUUAUUCAACUCUCUAUAAUCAAUGCAAAGCCUCAUUGAUCCAUCCUUCUUCUUCACAAAUAAAACAGGAGCUCCCCAAGGUGAAACACUAGUGUGGAUCUGCAUUUUUCACGUGUGUCCCCACUUGAUCAGUGAGACUUACUUUUAAUUUUGGUGAAAAAUUAAUUUUAGAAAAGUCAGAGACACCACUUAUUUUAUUUUAUUUUAAAGGGAAAAUAAAAUAAGAAAUAAAACCCUAAAAAAAUGACUCCAUAGUUUUUGGAAAAGCAUGUCUUUGAAAAACUCGAGUCUAGGUCCGGGGAUCAGGUUACUUAUUGGGAAGGUACCUCAAAGAGAUAUCACCCCUCUAAGCCUUAAGGAGGUCUCUACUGGCUAAGUCGAAGGGAAUAUGAAAAUUAGUUAAUUGAUUGAAGGUACCUAGGUAGACUAAGGUGAUUUCAGAAUUAACAUGACAAGCCAGAGAGUCAAAUCAUGAUCAUAAAAGAGAGUCAAAGUGUGUACCUGAAUUGCUUCUCAAGUGCUAUUGUAAAAUAUCAAAGUUAGUAUAGAAAUAUAACACACAUGUGUUUUAUCCAAAUAAAUAAAGCAUACAUUUAAGCACCUAAGGAUCACAUCAAGCAUAAAUAAGGCUCAUAACAACAUGCAUGUUCAUGGAAUUCCGGAAAGUAAGUGAUAGAGAGCGUACCUGGAUAGCAUGCAUAAUUUAUAAGAUUCCUAAAAAAAGGCUAAAGUGGUUAGGAAAAGUACAUAUUAUAUAACAUCUUUAUUAUGUCUAAUAUACAGUGCCAAAGCCAAAAUUGAGCUAAGAUAAAUCAAAUGACUCCAAAAACAAUAACAAUUUCAAGUAAAGUAUAAAACCAUCAACAUGCAGUUAGAAAAGGAAGCAUCAUAAAACAAUUUCUAAAAAAUGGCUUAGAAUGGAAUUUAGUUAUGAAAAGUUUCAAGAAACAACUCCUACACAUGUAGAUCAACAUACCAAAAGCUAAACACUCAGUCAAAGAACAUAUUACAGCAAAGACACCUAAAGGUUCUACAAAGUCUAGAUUAGAAAAGAAAAAGUGACAUGCAUAAAUGAUUUUUAAAAAAAUAAUAAAUGAUUACAUAAAAUCAUACACAUAGUUCAAAGUGUCUAUAUCACAUAAAAAAUGAAUCCAGGGUCAAAUAGUACUCAAAAAUAUUUUUGAAAUACUCAAGCUAAUCAGAUGUCCAGAAUCUUGUAUGCACAGUAGGUAUGACUUUGAAAAAUCGUAUCUCCCUCAAAAAGGCAUAUUUUUUAAUAUUUAUGUGUCUAAGAUAAAUUUCAAGAAGCCUAGAAUUGAGGAAAAAUAUUGAAUCAAAUUUAAAAAUUCAUCUGUUAUUUUAUUUUUGCAAAACGAUCUCGGGUGUUCAGAACUGGGUGAAAAUGGAGCCCUCCUAAAGACUCAUUGCUAUCUUCUAUUCCUGAAUGACUUUCUAACUCGAACGAAACUUUAAAUUCAACUUCAAGAAGUGAGGAAAGUCAUACUAGUUUUGGAAAUUUUUCAAAAAUAUUCUAAAGUUGCUGAAAUGAAUUUUAAAUCUAGAAGGUCAAUGGUUGAAUGAAAACUGGCAGCAAGUGGUUUCUUGAAAUCUGAAUUUUUGAUGAAUCUAAAAACUCUUUAAGGAUGAAAUUUGAAGGAAACUGGAAUUGUUUAACAAAACAAAGAAAGAGGAGGAUGGUGUGACUGCCCUUGAGAAUGAGUGAAUGGUGCGUGUAGGUAAUAUCGUUUGUGGAGGCUGGCUGAUUCUAUAAUAUUACGCAUGCUGCAUGCUGUAACGUGGCUUCAAAGAGGACGCAAACCACCCCGUUUUUAGUCUUUGAUACAACUGUUAGUGGAGUCCAUUCAUAGUGGCGGUAGAGCUGUAAAUUCCUUUUGAGUUUGUGCAGAAAUUGAAUUCCAAAUGCACUUUGUCCUCUGUAGCAUUGUUGAUUGUAUGAAAAAUGAUAGCAUGUCUGCCCAUAUGCAAACCGUUGACCUUUUUAUGUAUGGACUUUCACAAAAGAGCCGUGAGCAACAAGAGACAUCAAACUCCUAAUGCUAUGGGGUACAGUCCCAUCAAUUUAAUUUCCUUAGGGGCAUCUGAAAGUGUUAAUGACCUAUAUAAAUGCACCAUUUCUUUUUGUUCAUUUCGCAACAUACAUGAACUCCACAUCAACGAGUUCACAAUCUGCAUAAUAAAUGCCCUAUAAGCUUUACUCAGAAGCAACCGAUGAUCAGUAAAUAAAUGUAAGGAGACUGUUGGAGAUUGGAGAGUCACUGCAUAGCUUCAGAAAAACCCACUUGGAGAUUACCAUAGUAAAAUAUAGUGUGAUAAACCCCCAUGAAUAUAUCUCCAAGAAUCCACUGAGGCAGACGGUUGCAAUGCCUUCACCAGUUUUUAGAACAUACUCUUUUGGGGUCAGGGUGAAAUGCUUAUCUACAAUGGUGAAUGUAACAUCUGGCAUGUAGGGAACAUACUGCAUCAGGUUGUACCAUUGAUAUUAGAUGAUCCCAUAUCAUGUUUCCGUAUUGGGAAAUUACUUCUUUACAUUCCUGGCUCACGAUUCCUUCUGCUCCAAUUGCAUGGUUGAUUUCAGUCACGAUCGCCGUUGGACCAGCAAUUAAGGAUGUUCUUGAAUCUAUAAUAGCUGCACAACCUGCCUCACAAAAGCUUGUUGAUUGGUAUCCAAUAAGAAACUCUCCCAUUUCAAACUGCCAGUAACCCUUUUGAGUGAUUAUAAGUGUGCUGCCCCUUGAAGUGUCUCUUGUCGACACCACCAAAAACAAUCUCACCUCCAUCGAUGGCUUGUGGAUCCCGGUUUAGCCAGAAAGAGAAGAUGUCUUCUUGCACAAGACCUUGCCGAAUCAAAUUGUACCAAAUUGGUGUGGCAUUCCCAACAACAAUUUCCUUGAAACCGAGCCUAAGAAUCCCAUCACAUUCGGCAACAGAACUCCCUUAUUUUCAUUAGAGGAGAAUAGGCUAUAAUGUGACAUGCAAGGUGCCACAUCAACUACGUCUGCAAGAAACUGUAAAAUCUUGAACUCGACUCACACGAAAAAUAAACAUUCUUUGGAGAAAUCUUUCUUCUGCAUUUGCGGCUGUGGUGGCAUGGAUAUUCAGAUCUUCAAUAAGAAGGCCCUCGAAUACUUCCAGAUUCACAAGCGAGCACCCCAGGAAUAGAAGCAACUUCUGCAUCCAACUAAAUCACAUCCGGAAUCCAGUUUAACAACUUUCUUGCCUUGAAGAAGAAAUACCCAAUCUGAUUCAACAAUCUGCAAUCAUGUGUCAAACCCCACAAGCAGCCCACACUCUACACAACCUUUAUAAAGUUUCCACCUUUCAUGAAAUACUUAUGCCAUCAUGGUCUCCAUUAGCCCAGAACACCAAAGAAAGGGAGGCGAGUGAAAUAUAGAUGCUAAGCAUAGAAAGAAAUGACCCAAGAAAAACAAAGGAUGGAAGACAGAGGAUAGGUAACAGACGAGCCACAUUUCAUUAUUUUGUCAAAGGGCUUGAAAACAUGUGGGGAAUAUAAGAAUGAGAUUAUGACAGAGACAGGAAAAAUAGAAACAGAGUCAGAUAAUCAGAGUGAAUCUAGAGUUAUGCAUAUUUUUCGAACAAAAUCAAAUAAGCAACCGAGAAAACCAAACCACAAAUAAUAUACACGCAAUAUAUGAUAAAAAAACCACAAUAAUCCAUGCACAAACCUAAUAACCAAUCCAAAAUAAAUGGCCAGAAAAAACAAACGAGCAGAGUGGAAUAUGAAGGUGAACAGGGAGUCAAAACAUCUAUACCCGGAAAACUCCCAUUCGUUUCUCUUUUGUGGCUACUGCGACUUUUUUUUUUUUUUUUCUGUUUUGCUCUCCUUUGCUUUGCUUGUCGCCCUCCCUUAGCCUUUUCCUGUAUCUCCUUGUUUUUCUCUCCUACUAUAUCUCCUUGCUAUCUCAUUUAUUCUCUCUUUUGAAAAACCCAUCCUCAUGUUUUUUGUAGCCAUUGGCAGUCCUUCUACGUGAGGAUUCUUCCUCUCUCCAAAUUCUAUCUCACCUACCAAAAAAGUCCUCUUUUGAAGCUUUAUAGGAAAAUCCACCAAUGGAGAAGUUUUUGGAAAAGGUAAGAAUUUGGUCUAAUAAAACCCUUAUCUAACAACUCCUGAAGCUGAACCUUCAGCUUUUUAAGCUCUAUAGGUGCCAUCCUGUAUGGAGUCUUAGAGAUAGGAGUUGUUCCUGGUUCCAAGUCAAUGGUAAAUUCCACCUCCCUUUCUGGUGGCAAGCCAGACAAAUCAUCUAGAAAAACAUCAGGAAAAUUCCUUACAACGGGUAUGUCCUCCAACUUCAAAUCAUUUUCAUUACUCACCACAUAAGCCAAAAAGCCUUGACAACCCUUCCUAAGCUAAGAAUUAGCUCGUAAGGUUGAGAUCAAACGAAGUGGUCUAUCCACAUGCUUCCCCUCAAAACCGAACUCAGGCUGACCAGGGAUGCUAAAUAUCACCAUUUUCCCAAAACAAUCAAUAGAAGCAUGAUAGGAAGCUAACCAAUCCAUUCCCAAAAUUACAUCAAAGUCCUAAAGGUCAAGGAGUACUAAGUCAACUGGCAUUUCUCUAUAACCAAUCAUCACAAGACAAUCUCUAAGCACUUUAUUGGUCACAACAGAAACUCCCAUAGGAGUAGCAACAAUCAAAUCAAAGUCCAUGCUAGGAACAAGCAUACCCAACAAACUAACAAAAGAUACUGAAACAAAAGUGUGUGUUGAGCCUGGAUCAAUUAGGGCUCUCUCUAACAACUAAAGUGUGGAUUCGGAUAGUACCUUUCACCACAUCAGAAGGAGCCUGAGCAUCUCGAUGAGUCAUAGCAAACACCCACCCUUGGGCCCUAGGCUUCUGUUUACCCUCUUUAUUCUCCUCCUUAGGCUUCUCAAUGAUAAACUUUUUAUUCUUUGGACAAUCCCGAACCAUGUGUACUUGCUUCCCACAACCAAAACAAGUUCCAGUCUCCCUAUAGCAUGGCCUACCCUUGUGCUUCUUACCAUAAGUAGGACAAAUCACAUUUGAAUUUUGGGUUGUCUUUCAUUUAUUCUAAUUUCUAGUAGAGGCAGACAUUUUCUGUGCUUGGUUACCAUGAGCACCAUCACUCCUAUUCCUUUUCCUUUGUUGUUCCCUAUACUGAUGAAGCUCCUCAUUAUCCUUUUAUGCAAUAAGGACUCUGUCCACAAUCUCUGAAUAGAGGCCAUGUUUAAGAAUAGAUAUCUUCUUCUUCAGGUAGGGCUUUAAUCCAUCUUGAAACUUUAAUGUUUUUUCCUCCUCUAUAGCAAUCAAGUGUGGGGAAAAACGUGACAACUCUAUAAAUUUGGCCUCAUACUGGGCCACAGUCAUCUCCCCCUGUUCCAAACGAACAAACUCUCCCACAUUUUAUCGCCUAACACUAUCAGGGAAGUACUUCUUGUAGAAAGCCUUUCUAAAUUGUCUCCAAGUUAUAGGUCUAUGAUCCUCCAAAAGCCUCUUGGUCAUACGCCACCAAUGAUAUGCUUUUUUGUCUAACAUAAAUGCUGUAUAAAAGGCCUUUUGCUCCUCAAAGCAAACUAUGACAUCAAAGAAUUUCUCCAUCUUAAGAAUCCAAGUCUCUGCCUCUGUUGGAUCUGAAGUGCCAGAAAAAUAAGGAGGACCUAGUUUCUUAAAGUCAUCAAAAGAGCUACCCCUAAAAGAUGAGGAUUGUCCCUGACUAUUAGUCUCAAAAGCUCUAGCUUGACGCUAAACUAAACCAGCUAAAGUUCCGAGAUACCUAGAAAGUCCUUCUGCAUUCAUGGGAGGCAAACCCUCAAGUGGAGGAGGUACACCAUCAUUAGCCUGAUUGUUUUGGGAAGAUGUUGUUCUUCUUGGUGGCAUGAUCUCCUAUAAAACAUAAGGUAUAACUAAAUUAGUCACUAAGAAACCAAGUAGACAAUUUGGAUUUAUAAGGAAGAAGAAGUUUAUACAAGAUGAAGCUAAAUAUUAAACUAAUGUGUCACUCAUCUAUCCCCAAAGUAAACUAAAACAAGUUCCUAACAAGAUCAUAACCUAGUGCUCUGAUACCACUCUAUCAUGCCCCAAAACCCACUCUAAGGUCAUGACAGUCAUUUCACACUUCAAGCCUAAAGGCUCAGAGUGGAAACAAUACAAACAAUCAUAUUGUAAUUGGAAAUUUACCAAUUGCCAAAUUCCUAUUCAGAAUAGUAGAACAAAAAUUCUAAAAUCUCCAAAUAACAAUUUUUGAAACUAACACAUCAAACCAAGUUUUUUUUGUCCAAAUAACUCCAAACUCAAAUAAUUCUAAUGGAAAAUAAAUUUUAACAUCUAACAAUGCUCAAAAUAGAGAGAGUUUUGACAAAAGUCUUAACAAGCCAAUUUCUCCUCUUAACCGCCACUCUUCACCCAAACUGAGGGUACUUGAAAAAUUAUCAACAAAGGGGAAUGAGCUCAAAGCCCAAUAAGGAAUAUUAAUAUAGUUGCAUGGAUCAAAUAGUUUCAAUCAUGCUUACAAAUAGGAGAUUUAGUGUAAAAUCAUUUUCAUAAGAACAUUGAGUACAAAUAUGCUAAUACAUUUUAAAGUGUUUAACCAAACAUUUUUAUAAUAUCAAAAUCAUUUCAUAUCCAUUUCAAAUCAAAUACAAUUCAAUUAUUUUCACUCUAGUUAUCAAAUAACAAAUAGUGCCCAUUUAAAUGGGACUUUACAAAUAGGUGGCUAGCCUAAAAUGCUUAUUUUAAGGUGGACGGAACCAAACACUACUAGUACUAGUAAUCUCUAACCAAACCCCUAGAGGUUAUGGUCCAAAUUAAUUACAUUUCCCACUACGAAAAUGUAAAGGUCAACUAUUAUAUCCCGUUGACAAGGGCCAAAAAGUCAACUAUUAUAUCUCUUUAACAAGGGCCAAACAAACCAGAGUCAAAUUAUUUAUUUUAUUUGUUUCAACUUACAAAAGCAUAAAUCCCCAAGUAUUUCGAUAUAAACAAAAUAAAUGUUAUAACACAUUUUUUUUUCAUACAAAAAUAAAUUUUAUCCAUGCUUAAAAGCAAAAUUAACAAUUACACAUUUCAAACAACAUAUAUAUAUAUAUAUAUAUAUAUAUAUAUAUAUAUAUAUAUAUAUAUAUAUAUAUAUAUAUAUAUAUAUAUAUAUAUAUAUAUAUAUAUAUAUAAAAAAUUUAAUAUAUAUUCAUAUAUAUAUAAAAAUAUACACAAAAAUAUGGGAAAAAAAAAAAAUUUUAGAAUAUUCUCUCCCCCCCCAACAAAGUGAAAAAAAUAUAAAUAUAACUAUAUAUAUAAAUAUAUAUGUGUGACACACAUAAAAUUAUAUACAUACAUAUAUAUGUUUUAAAAAAAGAUAGAUAUUUAUAUAUAUAUCUAAUACACAAAAAAAAAUAUUUAUGUAUGCUACAAAAAAUAUUUUUUUUAUUUUCUAUUUUUUGCGCGUGACAGCACAAAAAUAAAAAAUAACAAUAUUUCUCNNNNNNNNNNNNNNNNNNNNNNNNNNNNNNNNNNNNNNNNNNNNNNNNNNNNNNNNNNNNNNNNNNNNNNNNNNNNNNNNNNNNNNNNNNNNNNNNNNNNAAAAUAAAUUUUUUAACACAUUUUUUUUUCACACACAAAUAUAUAUUUUCCUUGCUUUAAAGAAAAAAAAACAAUUACACAUUUCACACAACAUAUAUAUAUAUAUAUAUAUAUAUAUAUAUAUAUAUAUAUAUAUAUAUAUAUAUAUAUAUAUAUAUAUAUAUAUAUAUAUAUAUAUAUAUUUUGCAAAAAUCUAUAUUAAUUUCCCUUACCUCAAAAGAAGUCCUCAAAAACUUGGGAGAAAAAAAUAAUUUUGGAAAAUUUACUCUUCACCUAACAAAGUAUAAGAUAAAUAACUAUUACUAUUUAUCCAAAAUUAUAGGUUUGACAAUCCUAAAAUUUUAGGUAUUCAAAUUAAUGUUUUUAAUUAUGAAAUAUAAUUUAAUAUAUUCCUAUUUUAGAAAAAACAAUAAAUUUCUAAUUCAUAUAAAACUUAAAUUUUAUUUUCAAUUUAUUUCUUGGGACACAACAUAAUUUAAUUAAACUACAAUUUAUUUCACUAAUUAAAUUUUAUGCUACUAUUAACUUACACUCAUCAUUAGUAUAAUAAUAUUGAUAACUUCUAUUCUCUCACUUUCAGUUUUUUUUUUUUCACCAAACAUAAACUGUAUCCCAAACAAUUCUCCAUUAUUGCUAACAUAAUAAUAUAUGUAUACAAUAACCACCAAACACACUUCUCCGUACAUAUCUCCCUUAUUAUUAAUAUUAUUUUUUUUCUCACCAUUCUUCAACUUCCUCCGGUGCACACGCAUUUUUUUUUUCCUAAUAUUUUCUAAUCCCUUGAGCCACAUAUAACAAUAUAUUUAUUUACUCAUUUAUUUUUAUUUUUUUUAAAUUUCAUUACUUAGAUCUAUUCAUCUAAGAAAUUUUGAAUUUCCCUAUUUUCAUCAAUAGAACAACCUAUAUUCCUAAUUUUAAUAUUUUGACCUAAAAGUUUUAAAUAAAUUAACCCUANNNNNNNNNNNNNNNNNNNNNNNNNNNNNNNNNNNNNNNNNNNNNNNNNNNNNNNNNNNNNNNNNNNNNNNNNNNNNNNNNNNNNNNNNNNNNNNNNNNNGAAUAUUUUUUUUUUCAUCUAAAAACUUAAGAUUUCCCAAUUUCCAACAAUAAAUCAAAAUCUUAAAUUUUCAAAACAAAUUUAAAAAAAAACUAACCCUAAUUUAAAUUAAAAAAAUUUCAAAGAAUAACUAGCGUGUUCAGAACUAACUAACGAAUAUAAUAUAUUAAUUUAAGGUUAGAAUCUUUUUUGGAAAAACCUGAACUUCAACUUUGAACCUCUAACCCUUGAGCCCUACGAUCUCCAAUUCUCUAAUGUUAAUUAAGAAAUCAAAUUAGAAUAGUUUUUUAUAAAGUAAUUACUAACACAUCUUGUAGAAAAUUUAAAAAGAUAAUUAUUUUGAUUUUGACUCCCUCAAAUUUUAAAUAGGAUAAAAAAGGUGAAAUAUGAUAAAUUUUAUUUUUCAUUUGUUAUUGAAUUCCUUUAUUAUAAGGUCAAGGACACAUAUGCUUAUGAAAAGAACAAAUGGACUUGGGUUAAGGAGAACAACUACAAACAAAAAGGAAAGCGUGGUCUUUUAUUAAUAGAAUGGAGCGACACACCAAGAUAGAAAUGAUGAUGGAAUUUUCCUUUAGAAAUCAAGCCUCCAUAAGUUCUUCGUCAUGGAAUAUCCUUGCCAUGUCCUUGCUCAAUUCCUACAAUUGUUUUCUUUGGCCAAUAAUAACAAAAGUCAUAACCACCGUCAUGUUUAAGCAUGCACGGACCAUUGGGGGUUAUAUCCCAAUAGCAGAAUUUACCACAAUCUUCAAUAUCCCUAGCUUCUCUAUAACUAUCGAAUGACAUCACCUUAUCUUGCCAUUGUAUUUUAAAAAGAAAAGUGUAGUCAAUACCAAAAAGUUGGGUUUGAAGGACCACUCGAAGGAGUCCUUGAAGGGGAGUACAUGCACGCCGAGAUCAUCAUCUUUGGAUUGACAAUGUAUGGUAACACUUGAUCCUGGGCCUAGAAGAUUUGUAAGCCUCACAUGUGCUUUUCCAUAAGGAAAUAAUUUUCCUUGGGACAAAGUAACCUGCAAAAGAAUCAACAAUACAAGUUUCUUAAGCAAAAAACUCAUAUUUGAUUUUGUUUUGGUGCACGAGGAGAUGGAGGAUCCUCCUUUUAUAAGCUAAAAGGGGUGUUAUAUAUCAGGAAAAAAAAUGAAUCAUGCUCAUAAAAGGUCGAAGCUUGUCAUGAUGCUAAAAAGAAACAUGCAUUUACUUUCUUAUUGAUUUUUCAAAAUUUGUUUACCAUAAUUUCUAUUUAUCUUUUUCUCCAAUUCGUUUACAAUAAUUUCUAUUUAAGUUCUUCUCCAAUUUUUUUUACCAUAAUUUCUAUUUACCUUUAUCUCCAAUUAAAUUAUUUAUUUUGUUGAAAUUUACUUCUUUUCAAAGAUAAGAUCACCUUUACCCCCCAUAAUUAUUGGUUUCUAGUAAAACAUUUCGUGUUAUUUGGAACUAUAAUACUAGCACUUGUCAUUCUAUUGAGAACUAACCCUUUGUUUGAAGAUUUUAGUAUCACUUAUGUUCUAUAUACGCUCCCUUAAAGGGUUUUUUGGGGGUGAUUUGGUUAAAAUAGGCCUUUUAUUUGUAGCACUUUUGUCAGUAAUGCUUUUAUCAUAAACACUUGUAUAAAACAUACUUAAUGUUUAAAUACAAAUCAUAAAAAGGUAAUUUGAUAUUAUUUUUUAAUAUGUGUUUAAAUCAAAAGGUGGUUUUUAGAAAAAGCAUCCACAAAUUUCUAGUAAAAAGGAUAACAUGCAUUUACUUUCUUGUUGAUUUUUCAAAAUUUGUUUACCAUAAUUUGUAUUUACCUUUUCCUCCAAUUUGUUUACAAUAAUUUCUAUUUACCUUUUUCUCCAAUUUUUUUACCAUAAUUUCUAUUUACCUUUCUCUCCAAUUAAACUAUUUAUUUGUUUGAAUUUUACUUCUUUUCAAAGAUAAGAUCACCUUUGCCCUCCAUAAUUAUAGGUUUUUAGUAAAACAUUUCUUGUUAUUUGGAACUAUAAGAGAAGCACUUGUCAUUCUAUUGAGAAUUAGCAAUUUUUUUGAAGAUUUUAGUAUCACUUAUGUUCUAUUCACACUCACUUUAAGGGUUGUGUGGGGCAAUUUUGUUAAAAUAGGCUUUUUAUUUGUAGCGCUUUUGUCAAUAAUGCUUUUAUCAUAAACACUUGUAUAGAACAUCCUUAGUGUUUAAAUACAAAUCAUAAAAAGGUAAUUUGAUAAUAUUUUUUAAUAUGUGUUAAAAUCAAAAGGUGGUUUUUAGAAGAAGCAUCCACCAAAUGCUAGUACAAGAAUUGAUAAAAAAAUCAUGCAUUUCCUCUCUUGCCAUUUCUUAAAAAUUUGUUUACCAUAAUUUCUAUUUACCUUUUCCUCCAAUUUGUUUACAAUAAUUUCUAUUUACCUUUUUCUCCAAUUUUUUUACCAUAAUUUAUAUUUACCUUUCUCUCUAAUUAAACUAUUUACUUUUUUGAAAUUUACUUCUUUUCAAAGAUGAGAUCACCUUCGCCCCCCAUAAUUAUAGGUUUUUAGUUACAAAUUUCUUGUUAUUUGGAACUAUAAGGCUAGAAUUUGUCAUUCAAUUGAGAAUUAACACUUUGUUUGAGGAUUUUAGUAUCACUUAUGUUCUAUUCACACCCACUUUAAGGGUUGUGUGGGGCAAUUUUGUUGAAAUAGGAUUUUUAUUUUUAGCGCUUUUGUCCGUAAUGCUUUAAACAUAAACACUUAUAUAGAACAUCCGUAGUGUUUAAAUAAAAAUCAUAAAAAGGUAAUUUGAUAAUAUUUUUUAAUAUGUGUUAAAAUCAAAAGGUGGUUUUUAGAAGAAGCAUCCACCAAAUUCUAGUAAAAGAAUCAUGCAUUUAAUUUCUUGUUGAUUUUUCAAAAUUUGUUUACCAUAAUUUCUAUUUACCUUUUCCUCCAAUUUCUUUACAAUAAUUUCUAUUUACCUUUUUAUCCAAUUUGUUUACCAUAAUUUAUAUGUACCUUUCUCCCCAAUUAAACUAUUUAUUUUUUUUGAAAUUUACUUCUUUUGAAAGCUAAGAUCACCUUCGCCCCUCAUAAUUAUGGGUUAUUAGUAAAACAUUUCUUUUUAUUCGGAACUAUCAGACUAGCACUUGUCAUUCUAUUGAGAUUUAGCACUUUGUUUGAAGAUUUUAGUAUCACUGAUGUUCUAUUCACACUCACUUUAAGGGUUGUGUGGGGCAAUUUUGUUAAAAUAGGCUUUUUAUUUGUAGCGUUUUUGUCCGUAAUGCUUUUAUCCUAAACACUUGUAUAGAACAUCCUUACUGUUUAAAUACAAAUCAUAAAAAGGUAAUUUGAUAAUGUUUUUCAAUAUGUGUUAAAAUCAAAUGGUGGUUUUUAGAAGAAGCAUCCACCAAAUGCUAGUAAAAGAAUCGAUAAAAGAAUCAUGCAUUUACUUUCUUGUCAAUUUUUCAAAAUUUGUUUACCAUAAUUUCUAUUUACCUUUUCCUCCAAUUUGUUUACAAUAAUUUCUAUUUACCUUUUUCUCCAAUUUGUUUAGCAUAAUUUAUAUUCAUCUUUCUCUCUAAUUAAACUAUUUACUUUUUUGAAAUUUACUUCUUUUCAAAGAUGAAAUCACCUUUGCCCCUCAUAAUUAUAGGUUUUUAGUAACAAAUUUCUAGUUCUUUGGAACUAUAAGGCUAGAAUUUGUCAUUCAAUUGAGAAUUAACACUUUAUUUGAGGAUUUUAGUAUCACUUAUGUUCUAUUCACACUCACUUUAAGGGUUGUGUGGGGCAAUUUUGUAAAAAUAGGCUUUUUAUUUGUAGCGCUUUUCUCAGUAAUGCUUUUACCAUAAACACUUGUAUAGAACAUUCUUAGUGUUUAAAUAAAAAUCAUAAAAAGCAAAUUUGAUUAUAUUUUUAUUAUGUGUUAAAAUCAAAAGGUGGUUUUUAGAAGAAGCAUCCACCAAAUGCAAGUAAAAGAAUCGAUAAAAGAAUCAUUCAUUUACUUUCUUGUUGAUUUUUCAAAAUUUGCUUACCAUAAUUUGUAUUUACCUUUUCAUCCAAAUUGUUUAUAAUAAUUUCUAUUUAUCUUUUUCUCCAAUUUGUUUACCAUAAUUUAUAUUUAGCUUUCUCUAUAAUUAAACGAUUUACUUUUUCUAAAUUUACUUCUUUUCAAAGAUAUGAUCACUUUCGCCCCUCAUAAUUAGAGGUUUUUAAUAACAAAUUUAUUGUUAUUUUUAACUAUAAGACUAGAACUUGUCAUUCAAUUGAGAAUUAGCACUUUGUUUGAGGAUUUUAGUAUCACUUAUGUUCNNNNNNNNNNNNNNNNNNNNNNNNNNNNNNNNNNNNNNNNNNNNNNNNNNNNNNNNNNNNNNNNNNNNNNNNNNNNNNNNNNNNNNNNNNNNNNNNNNNNACUUUGUGUUGAGGAUUUUAGUAUCACUUAUGUUCUAUUCACACUCACUUUAAGGGUUGUGUGGGGCAAUUUUACUAAAAUAGGCUUUUUUUUUUGUAGCGCUUUUGUCAAUAAUGCUUUUAUCAUAAACACCUAUCUAGAACAUCCUUCGUGUUUAAAUCCAAAUCGUAAAAAGGUAAUUUGAAAAUAUUUUUUAAUAUAUGUUAAAAUGAAAAUGUGGUUUUUAGAAGAAGCAUCCACCAAAUGCUAGUAAAAGAAUAGAUAAAAGAAUCAUGCAUUUACUUUCUUGUUGAUUUUUCAAAAAAAUUUUACCAUAAUUUCUAUUUACCUUUUCCUCCAAUUUGUUUACAAUACUUUCUACUUACCUUUUUCUCCAAUUUGUUUACCAUAAUUUAUAUUUACAUUUCUCUCUAAUUAAACUAUUUACUUUUUUGAAAUUUACUUCUUUUCAAAGAUGAGAUCACCUUUGCCCCUCAUAAUUAUAGGUUUUUAGUAAAAAAUUUCUAGUUAUUUGGAAUUAUAAGGCUAGAAUUUGUCAUUCAAUUGAGAAUUAACACUUUAUUUGAGGAUUUUAGUAUCACUUAUGUUUUAUUCACACUCUCUUUAAGGGUUGUGUGGGGCAAUUUUGUUAAAAUAGGCUUUUUAUUUGUAGCGCUUUUAUCAAUAAUGCUUUUACCAUAAACACUUGUAUAGAACAUCCUUAGUGUUUAAAAAAAAUCAUAAAAAAGUAAUUUGAUAAUAUUUUUUAAUGUGUUAAAAUCAAAAGGUGGUUUUUAGAAGAAGCAUCCACCAAAUUCUAGUAAAAGAAUCAUGCAUUUACUUUCUUUUUGAUUUUUCAAAAUUUGUUUACCAUAAUUUCUAUUUACAUUUUCCUCCAAUUUGUUUACAAUAAUUUCUAUUUACUUUUUUCUCCAAUUUGUUUACCAUAAUUUCUAUUUACCUUUCACUCGAAUUAAACUAUUUAUUUGUUUGAAUUUUACUUCUUUUCAAAGAUAAGAUCACCUUUGCCUUCCAUGAUUAUAGGUUUUUAGUAAAAAUUUCUUGUUUUUUGGAACUGUAAGAGUAGCACUUGUCAUUCUAUUGAGAAUUAGCAAUUUUUUUGAAGAUUUUAGUAUCACUUAUGUUCUAUUCACACUCACCUUAAGGGUUGUGUGGGGCAAUUUUGUUAAAAUAGGCUUUUUAUUUGUAGCGCUUUUGUCAGUAAUGCUUUUAUCAUAAACACUUGUAUAGAACAUCCUUAGUGUUUAAAUACAAAUCAUAAAAAGGUAAUUUGAUAAUAUUUUUUAAUAUGUGUUAAAAUCAAAAGGUGGUUUUUAGAAGAAGCAUCCACCAAAUGUUAGUAAAAGAAUCGAUAAAAGAAUCAUGCAUUUACUUUCUUGCCAUUUUCUUAAAAAUUUGUUGACCAUAAUUUCUAUUUACCUUUUCCUCCAAUUUGUUUACAAUAAUUUCUAUUUACCUUUUUCUCCAAUUUUUUUACCAUAAUUUAUAUUUACCUUUCUCUCUAAUUAAACUAUUUACUUUUUUGAACUUUACUUCUUUUCAAAGAUGAGAUCACCUUCGCCCCCAUAAUUAUAGGUUUUUAGUAACAAAUUUCUUGUUAUUUGGAACUAUAAGGCUAGAAUUUGUCAUUCAAUUGAGAAUUAGCACUUUGUUUGAGGAUUUUAGUAUCACUUAUGUUCUAUUUACACCCACUUUAAGGGUUGUGUGGGGCAAUUUUGUUGAAAUAGGCUUUUUAUUUGUAGCGCUUUUGUCUGUAAUGCUUUAAACAUAAACACUUGUAUAGAACAUCCUUAGUGUUUAAAUAAAAAUCAUAAAAAGGUAAUUUGAUAAUAUUUUUUAAUAUGUGUUAAAUCAAAAAGUGGUUUUUAGAAGAAGCAUCCACUAAAUUCUAGUGAAAGAAUCAUGCAUUUACUUUCUUGUUGAUUUUUCAAAAUUUUUUUACCAUAAUUUCUAUUUACCUUUUCCUCCAAUUUGUUUACAAUAAGUUCUAUUUACCUUUUUCUCAAAUUUUUUUACCAUAAUUUCUAUUUACCUUUCUCUUGAAUUAAACAAUUUAUUUUUUUGAAAUUUACUUCUUUUCGAAGAUAAGAUCACCUUCGCCCCUCAUAAUUAUAGGUUUUGAGUAACAAAUUUCUUGUUAUUUGGAACUAUAAGAGUAGCACUUGUCAUUCAAUUGAGAAUUAGCACUUUGUUUGAAGAUUUUAGUAUCACUUAUGUUCUAUUCACACUCACUUUAAGGGUUGUGUGGGGCAAUUUUGUUAAAAUAGGCUUUUUAUUUGUAGCGCUUUUGUCAGUAAUGCUUUUAUCAUAAACACUUGUAUAGAACAUCCUUACUGUUCAAAUACAAAUCAUAAAAAGGUAAUUUGAUAAUGUUUUUUAAUAUGUGUUAAAAUCAAAAGGUGAUUUUUAGAAGAAGCAUCCACUAAAUGCUAGUAAAAGAAUCGAUAAAAGAAUCAUGCAUUUACUUUCUUGCUGAUUUUUCAAAAUUUGUUUUCCAUAAUUUCUUUUACCUUUUCCUCCAAUUUGUUUACAAUAAUUUCUAUAUACCUUUUUCUCCAAUUUGUUUACCAUAAUUUAUAUUUACCUUUCUUCCCAAUUAAACUAUUUAUUUGUUUUGAAAUUUACUUCUUUUCAAAGCUAAGAUCACCUUCGCCCCUCAUAAUUAUGGGUUAUUAGUAAAACAUUUCUUGUUAUUAGUAAAACAUUUCUUGUUAUUCAGAACUAUCAGACUAGCACUUGUCAUUCUAUUGAGAAUUAGCACUUUGUUUGAGGAUUUUAGUAUCACUAAUGUUCUAUUCACACUCACUUUAAGGGUUGUGUGGGGCAAUUUUGUUAAAAUAGGCUUUUAAUUUGUAGCGUUUUUGUCAGUAAUGCUUUUAUCCUAAACACUUGUAUAAAACAUCCUUAGUGUUUAAAUACAAAUCAUAAAAAGGUAAUUUGAUAAUUUUUUUUAAUAUGUGUUAAAAUCGAGAGGUUGUUUUUAGAAGAAACAUCCACCAAAUGCUAGUAAAAGAAUUGAUAAAAAAAAUAAUGCAUUUACUUUCUUGUUGAUUUUUCAAAAUUUGUUUACCAUAAUUUCUAUUUACCUUUUCCUCCAAUUUGUUUAGAAUAAUUUCUAUUUACCUUUUUCUCCAAUUUGUUUACCAUAAUUUAUAUUUACCUUUCUCUCUAAUUAAACUAUUUACUUUUUUGAAAUUUACUUUUUUUCAAAGAUGAGAUCACCUCAUUUGAUUCGUGCCCAAUUGGUGUAUCAGCUGAUUCAUGUCCAGUUGGUGCCUCCUUGAUUGAGGGAGUAAUCAACAAAAUUUAUAACCUAUUACACCAUGAACUAGGGUAGCAAAGACAAAGCUACUAUAGCAUCGUGGCUCUAGGAUCGUUCACUGGGAAGGGUUUUCAAUUCAUAAAUGAUACCAAUUCAAAGAUGAAUUGGUGCCUUUUCAUUUCAAGGUUGGCUUAAGAAAUAAAACACAAACUUUGAUUGAAAAAGGUUUAGGUUUAAGCUAACUGCAAAGGAAGUAAUGGAAAUUACUUAUGAAGAAAAACAUUCCUUGGAGGUUUAGGUUUACAAGGGAGGUUCCUCAUGCAAAAACAGAGCUCCGGUCACUUGGUUCAUUUCCUCGCAUUAGAGAAUUAACAUAUAGUCAAUUCUCUAACUAGUGUUGUACAGAUGCUUCCCUUUAAUGGGUUCAAACACUAAAUCCCUCUCACUGAUGCAUCUUGCAAUGGCUCAUACCUCUCACCUAGCACUUGCCAUUCAAGGUGAUCUUUAACCUUGGAUUAUCCGUCAAAAGCUCGCAAGAGAUAACUAAUGGAUGUCUCCAUGGAGUCCAAAAGCUUACCAAGUGUUGACUAUUCUAGAAAAUCCUACCUUCAAACCACCUCCCAAAGGCUCGCAAGAGAUAAACUAGUGCAUCUCAAUGGAUGAAGACCACUUGCCUUAUCAAGUGUUGGCCUAGGUGAUUUAAAGGCGUUUUAAGUUAACUAAAAAGAUAAAACCAUUAACGGGUCACACUUUCUCUUCAUUAAUGGUUGAAACCACAAAGCUACUAAUUCUUGCACUUGGAACCUUUCCCGACAACCUUAACUCCAAAAAACUAAAAGUCUAGCCACUCAUUCUCUGAGGAAACAUCCUCAGAGCUUGUUUGGCUAGUAAGAAAAUACAAUCAAAAUGAGAAGGUAAAGCAGAGCAAAGCUCUGUAUUUUUCUUCCUUUGAAAACUAUACAAAAGAUGCGUCGUCUCCCCGAGAACAGGCUCCCGAGAGAUAUUUAUAUGAAAAAUUACAAUAAUAAUAUAUAUAAGUUUAUUUAUCCUUUUUCCAAACUUAAUAACUAAGGAAUCUUCUAAUUGGUGGGUUACAAGGAGAGUUUGGGAAUUUAGACAUAAAAUAUCUAAAGCAAAAUAUCUCAAAAUAUCUCAAAAUGUCGGUUGCACAUAUCGGGACGCUUUAGGAGA
rnacentral:lncRNA from 1 species